GAAAACAUCCCACUGGAUAGUAGACUGGCUGUUGCAAGCUACUUCUUUUUUUAUGAAUAAGAGAAGAAGCAUAGACUACCAAGUGCUAAAGGCAUGGGCAUUGGCAGUCCCUGCCCAGUCCCCCACCCAAAAAGAAAAAAAAAUCAAAAAAGAAAAUAUGUAAAAGGGACGUACCUUCAAACGGGACCGUUCUCUGCUUUGUGUUUCACUAUUCGCGGGCCCCACUGACAUGUGGCGGCCCGCGAUUGGUUACCUGUUUUUUUUUUUCUAAAAAAUCUAUUAAAAAAAAAACUUUUUUCUGAGUCCUACUGAUGCCCAUGCUCUAAUAGCUCAACUGGUAAAGAUCUUUGGCAAAAGCUCAAAAGUCACCGGUUCGAGUAGCGCUUGGGACGAAACCAUAUAACAUGCUAUGGUUUCGGGUCUGGGGGAUGUAUGAGUUUCAGCCCAGAAUCUCUUUCAUUAUUAAAAAAAAAAAAAGAAAAAAGAGACUUGCAAGUAAAACAUAAGUGAUCGAAUUGGUUGAUUAAGCAUAGGUUUUAACCAACUGUAAUGAACUGGAAAUUUGGUUAAAUUUCAUUAUACAAGGGGAUCUUGGAUAAAGCAAGACUUGGUGGUGAAAACUAAUUUUAAAAUUUUAAUUCCCUCAGUAGAUGAUUAUCAUGGUUAGUCAGUAUGAUAUAUGAGGUCCAAUGUUAGAUGCCUAAAGGAUACAACUUAACCGAUGAAUAAAGUAUCUGUGAUCAAGAAAAUACGAUAUGAACAUCAACAACACAAACAAAAAAAAAAGUUUUAAGAAGAAGAAACAACGAUUGCUGAAAUAGAACAAAAAGCAAAAACCCAAUGAGCUAUAUUUGAUUUCAAGAAUAUGAUCGAAUAAGGAAGAUAAGUGUAUCAUUUACUCAAACCAGCAAACAUAUAAAAAACAGAAACAGUUUUGAUACAAACCACAAACCAUUUUGUUCUUGGACAUACAUAAUACUAGAAAAGAAGUCGGUUUCAUUAUACAGCAACACACAAGGUUUAGAUAAGUGUAUCAUUCAAUACUCAAACCAGCAAACAUAAAACAUACAACUUUAAAAAAAAAAAAACAGUUUUGAUACAAACCACAAAGCAUAACAUAGUCUCGUUUAUUAUUCGGUUGAUUCGCUGGUGCCCGAGUUGGUAAGAGAUUCAGUUCAGAUCAUGGUCGGCUACAAAAACAUAAGAACCAAAAAGAAAAAGUUAAUGAGAUUCAGAAGAAAUGUUCGUCUCUGUUAGAAAAAAUGUGACACGGUAUAUAUAUGGGUAAAUUGGUUUUUAGAAUCUAUUUUGCCAACAAACACUUCAUUUCUCUUUCAGAAAAAAAAAAAAAGUUUUAUCAGAGAGGCUAAAGAGUUUCUAGACGUUUCGUCGAAUACCUUCAUCCAGUUGAUGAAAUUGAAAACCAUCAUAAUCUGCAACACAUAGUCACAUAGCAUCAAACAAGUUCCGAUGAAACUAACUAAAAGUGUAGUUUAGACUAUCUCCAAUGUAUUCCUCUAUACAUAGGGAAAAAUACAGUUUCUCUAUAAAAAGAAUAAAAAAUAGAGUUCUAUAUGCUCUUACGUAAACUAUUCUCCUCCCACACAAAUAGCUGAAAAAUCAUAAUUUACCUGCUAGUUCCCGAAUUCAUUCAUCAAUGUAAACAGAAGGGAUGUGUUUGACUUUGUAAUAAUCUGCUCCUCCUUCCGACCAUCUAUUCUUCCAUUCCUCUCCCAUAUAAUAAAAACUCAGAUCCUUUAAUGAUCGCAGCACAUCAUCAGGAAUCUCCUUUAGUUUCUUGCAAUUCCAAAUCUGAAGAUCAUUGAGAAGUGGCAUGGAGCCUUCUUCUACUAUCCAUUCUUCCCACUCAUCUAAUUCAUGAAAAUGUAGUGACUGCAACUGAGGGAACCCACCCCUAGAGCAAACCAUUCUCCUCCCACAGAAAGAAUUUUGAAUUAAAAAAACAUCUUUCAAUUGACCAAACUUCUCUAGAAUGGGCAUCGGAUCCUGCUCCAAACGACAGUCCCCUAGAACCAGGCUUGUAAGGCUUGAAGGAAACUGCAAUUCAUCAGAUAACAAUGGAAUAUUUAUCACCAAACUCAGCUGUUGGAGAUUAAUGAAUUCGAAUAGACUUCCCCAUCCUUUCGUCCCCUUAGCAGCCCCGAUAAGUCUUAUAUCAAGAGUUUCCAGGUGUCUAGCUCCACCUAUCGAUGCAGAAAGGGUUUCUAAACUGCUCUCACCAGUUAAUCUGAUUCGAAGAGUCCUCAACAUGGUCAUACCACAAAGAUCCUCUAAACUGCAAUUCUCUGUUGAGAAAUUAGUCAAGGUCUCCAAGUUUACUAGAUGGCUCAAUUCCAACUUUUUCUUCAUAUGCAUAGCAUAUGGUAAUCUAAGGUAUCUCAAUUCUUUCAUCCCCUUCAAGACAUUAGGCACGAAUAUAGACCUUCUAACCACAUCUAAAUUUAGAUAGAUCAGCAACUUUAGAUUUCUUAGAGAAGAUGGUAGAUAAGAUAUGUACGCACCUUCUAAGCUCAGAUAUCUUAAGUGGAUGAGCUUUCCAAUUCCAGAAGGUAACUUCAUUCCUUUGAAAGUGACUCUAGGGAGAUGUAAUACUCUCAGCACUUGUAACCUUGUAAAGCUUACACAUGAAACUUCACAAAAGCCUGUCCUUAUAUACUUCUUGAGAACAAUGAGAGAUCGAACCUUUGAAUUAUUUAUCUCUCUCUCAACAUGUAAUGCAGACGGUUCAUGUGAGACAAAUCUCCGGGAUGUACAAACAGACGGGGAGCUGUUACCGACAAUUUGUAGGAAGUUCUCUUCUUUUGCUUUUGACAAACAAAGAUCUCUCAUCAAGUCAUGCAAACGGCAUUCUUCAAAUCUCCAAGUGGUACUGACUCUUUCAGAUAUAACCAUAUUUCUCUUUACCAAUUCUUCUAUGUAGCUAUCUCCAACAUCUCUAAUGCUCUCUCCAUUGGUAUACUUGAUUAUUCCUUCUGCAGCCCAGUAAUAGUACAAUUCUUCGAUACUUAUUUCGUAAUCUUCUGGAAAAUGGGCCAAGUAGAGGAAGCAAUACUUUAAAUGACCAGGCAGCUCUUCAAAGCUCAGAGACAAUACACGGUUCAAUAAAUUGUUGUUGCCAUCAUUGGCUCUUCCAACGAGAUGAGAUACAAUAUUCUUAGAUACUCGUUCCCAGUAGAGUUCUGUGUAAUUUUCAGCCAACAAUCCUCCUAACACCCUGACAGCCAAAGGCAAUCCCCCACAUUGUUUAAGCAUUCGUCUACCCAUCUCUUCCAUUUCCUUAGCAACUUUCUUCGGUUCUACACAACAUCAUCAAACAAAUAAAAAAUACAUCAUUUAUACCAUGAAAAGAAUUUCAGUUCAGUAUGAUGUAAUAAUGAUAUACUACAAUAAGCUAUUUUAAAGCUAUGUCUUCCGAGACUGAAACAUUCUUCAAACCAACUGAAACAUUCUUUAUACACAUGGUUUUUGAUUGAAUAAAAUUUUACAUUCAAUUCAAAAAAAAUAAAGCUAUGUCUUGCGAUCAUCCCUUCUUGAAUGCUUACCAGAUCCUUUCAUAUUUAUGUGAUCAAAGUCUAUAAGAAAUAUAUAUAUCCUUCAUUUGAAUGCUUACCAGAUGCAUCUUUCAUCGGUAUCGCUAUUCUUUGGAAAAGAGUCCAACUGUCUUCAUCAGAUAGGCAUUCUGGUUUGAAGUUGAUAAAUGGUUCUUCACGUCCAGCGACUCUUUCAUUUCGUGAAGUAAGUAGCACUUUCCAACCUGUACAACUUAAAAAUUAAUAUAACACAGAGAGCAUAAUGAGUGUGAUCUUGAAUUUUAUCUUUCUUUCAUCAUCACCUUUUUUGUGUGGAAAUAUUGGCUUGAUUAGGUUCCAAUCUUCUUCUUUCCAUAUGUCAUCAAUGACAAUUAAUGAUUUUGAUGUUUCCAACAAUCUAGAGAGUUCAUCUUGGAGUCUUUCUUCUUUCAUCUGCAUGAUUUCGUUUUCUUCUGCUUUGGUUCUGAAACUUUGCAAGAUAUUUUGCCACACAUUCUUCCGAUCACAAACUUGUGAAACACAUACCCACGCAAGUCUAUCAAACUUCUCCCUAACCUUGUCGUGAUGAAAAGCUUGUCUAGCAAGGGUUGUUUUCCCAAGACCACCCAUCCCGGUCAUUAGAACAAUUUGAUCAUUAUCUUCCUCCACCAAAUAUCCAACCAACUUCUCUACGUUUUCUUCCAGCCCCACAAGAUUGCUUUUUUCCUGUCUAGCGAAUUCUUUUCUUUCAGGAAGAGGUUGUUGAUCCCUCAUGUCGCCAAUAAUCUUUUGUACUCCUUGAGUUUCCAUAUCACGAAUCACCUUAGAGAUCCUAUUACUUAAGCUUCCAAUUUCUAAAGCGAUUUCCCUGCGUUCAGGAAUGAUGCAAGCAAGUCUUCUCAUACGUUCCUUGAUGCCACCACUUUUUUGGAGUUGGUCUUUUAGGAUAAAAGUUUCAAGUAUAUCUUCCGCGUCAAAAAUGAUUUCCUUGAUCACUUCCACACAGUUCCUCACCCUCGCACUUGUAUGCUUUUUAGCCUCUGCGUCUUCCAUAAAUGACUUUAACCUGCCUAGAUCAGUUUUUAGUUCAUCAACUUGAUCUUCAACUCCCUGAAAUUGUUUGUGUUCAUGGCUCAGUAGGUUCCAAAGAUUUUGUAUUCCAAAUGACAGAAGCUCCGUAGCCAUAGUGCCUCCUGCUUAAAUAGUAAUGAAAAUAACAACCAAGUUACUUAAUAUUGACGAACAUUUCUAAUCAUAACAUAUUCACUAGAGCCAAAUAUCACAAGUUCCGUAAGAUGAUAAGAUUUUGAUAAUUCCAUUAAAGCCUAUAAAGACUAAACCUAAUUAUUCUAGUGAGUAACCUGUAAGAUCCAAUGAAAUUGCCAGAAAUUUAUAUGGAUAUAGACAAGGUUUUAGUUUCAAAACUUGAAAGAUAUAUAUGUGGAGAAAAAUAAAGAAAGAUUUCAUUCACCGUAAACAAAAAAUUUUGCCAUGAACAAAAGAAAACAGAUUGAUAACAUUAACAGAAAAAUGACUAACCUCUUUAGCUCAUCCUGAGGAAGAACUACCUCACAUAUUUUCAAGACUUAAUUUCCCUUCUUUCUGAUAUUUUGUUUUUCAGACUUUUCAACUAUCGACAACUCAUGGUGUUCUUAACCACAUACUUUUUUUUGUCUAUCUUUCUCUUUAUCUAUUCUUUUUUUUUUUGCAGAAAUAUUUUUCUUUUGUUAUGAAAUUAUUAUUUUAUAUAUAGGUGUGAGGAAAGUAAUUAUAUAAGUGUUUGUUUUAUAUUAGUAUAUAUAUAUAUUAUAUUUGUAAUUGGUUGAAAGGGAGAGAAAGUGACGAAGAGGAAAGAGAGUGAAUUAUUAUUAGUCUUGCAUUUUUGUUGCUUUCGUACACACAGUUGUGUAUUAAAAAGAACUUAACUGACCACAAACGAACAUAUCUAGGCCUUGAAAGACCAUCCACAUCGUCCCUCCAAAUAGUCUCCAAUACAUCAUGAACAAAAUCAAAAGUAAAUAAACCUAUAAGCAAAGUAAAGGCAUAGUUUGUUAAUCUAUCCGCAAGGUGAUUAGCUUUUCUAUACAUGUGAGAAACCCGAACAAUCCAGUUUCUCGAUAAAAAGCCAUAACACAAAUAUACUAAGGAUGAUGAUGGGUAGGAUUUGCAGAUACCCUUCUUGAAAAACACCACCACCAUUUUGGAAUCACUCUCCGAUUCCACUCUUAAAACUUGUUUCUCCCUGGCAAUAACAAGUCUAUAGUAGACAACCCAAAACUCUGCUAGAGGUGCGGAACAUCGACCAAUAUUGAGUGAAAAUCCUUCACACCAGUUUCCCUCUCCAUCAUGUAGAACACCACCAGCAGCUGCCAACCCUAGAUUGCCACUUAAGCUCCAUCAGUGUUAAGCUUAUACCAGCAGUUAACUGUUUAUUAUCCUCUAAUUUCUUCAAUUUUUUUGUGUUUGGGAGAUUGCAGGCUUGAUUUCUAUGGAAUUUUGGGUCUUCUUUAAUUACAAUUGAAAUAGUUUUAUUUAUAUAUUUUACAAUUAAUUAUGAAUAUGAAUAAAAAAAAAAAAAGAUAAAGUAGUAAAUCUAUUAUUGAGAUAGAAUAUUUUAUUUUGGCAACAAUUCAUAUUUAUAUAUAAUUGAAAAAAUGUUGACCAAAGAAAAGAAUAAUAAUAAAUAGUUCUACAUAUAGAGGUCUCGGGUUUGACGUCCAGAUAAUGCGAUUUAUUAAUUAAUUUGCAGAUGAAUGAGACAAGUUUUCUAGAGAUCUACAACGAUGCACAAUUAACUGUUCACCGUUAUUCUACGCAUGGUGAAUGAAGUGUCGUCCGUCUAAGGAAAAAGAGUAAUUUGUGAUGAAUCUAUUAGAAUCGGGGAGAAUUAGCUAUAGUAUAAUCAUUAUUGUAAUAAUUCUCAUAAUUUUUAAUAAUUAAUAAUUCAAGAGUUAAAAAAAAAACUAGAACUAUAUAGAAUUCAAUCUAGGGGUUAAAACAGAGUAGUGCUUAUUUAGAGAAAAAAAAUGCUUAUUUAGAGUCGAAUUUUCUACGGAAAAAUGAUUCUCAGCUACAUGAAGUAUCCACCAACACAUGGUCACACAUGUAAACAAUAUAAUUGUCUCGUUAACUACAUGAAGUAUUACUAUCACAUAAGGACAUGCAUAAACAAACAUGAGUUAUGUGUAUAACACCUGAUAUGAUCAUGCCUAGCACAACGGACUUGGAACGUCACAAAGAGCUUGUAGCCGAGGAGGAGCUUGAAGCAGAGGAGCAGCUCAAAGCUAAGGAGCCGUUUGAAUUAGAGAAUGAGCUUAUAGCGGAGAAAGAGUAUGGCAAAGAUGUUAUCUUAACCUCACUGGUUUUGAUACAUGAUCACUAAAUGGGCAUGUGUCUCAUUUGUACUCUUUUUCCCUUGUCAAGUUUUAUCCCAAUGGGUUUUCUUGACAAGGUUUUUAAUUAGGCAAAUGAUUCACAUUCAAAUCACUCAUUUGUUGAUCCAAACCAUUAAAAUAGAUUCAGAACUUGGCCCAAUGGAAUAUAUAUCAAGUCCAGCUUGUUUUGUGCCCAUUACAAGCCCAAGAAGAGUCCAAACCAAGUGGGUAAUUUGCUAGCCAAGAGGAGUGACAAAAAUAAGUAGUUGAAGAGUCAUUUCUAUUCAAACUCUAUCUUUAAUUUUUUUUAAUUUCCAAGGUAGUUUUGUGAGUGUGUUCCAAGACUUCCUUCUUCUUUAUAAACCCCUUGUAAUCUCUUAUGAGACACAACCUUCCUUUUUAUCAAAAACCUUUUCUCUAAAGAGAUCUUUUAGUUGGUGUGUAUAUCCAGCUUUUCUCUUGUUGGUGUGUAUAUCCAGUAAAAACCUUAGCCUCUUUGGUGUGUAUAUCCAAAGGAUCUAAGUUCGGUAUCGUUAAGCUAUUCCGCAAGCUUCUUGUGAUAUCCAUCGACCAUUCAACUUCUAUUCCGCACCACGGCUUUCUAGCCAAAUCUAUCCUUGCUCAACUUAAGAGUGUCGGAUCCUAGGGAGAUUCUCGUCAACACCAUAACCAUCCAAUAUUGACCGGCGUUUACCAACAAAAAAGAAGAAAAAUUAUUUUUAUAAAAAAAAUAAGAAAGAAUAUAUAAAAUUUUUAGUAAAAUUAUAAAAUGAAAUACUUUUAAAAAUACUAUACUUAACAAAUAUAAUUUUUCUUUUCUUUUUUUUUCAAAUAUUUUUACUUUGUAUUCAAAUGUGGGUUUUUUUAUUAUUUUCUAGAUAUAUGCUUUUAUGUAAAUAAUAUUUUAAUUAUAUUUCUUCUUUUUCCCUUAUAAACAAUAUAUAUUUCGCGAUGCCAUAGAAAUAUUUGAAAUGCCAUAAUCUCAUAAACUUUAUAAAUAAAUAAAAACUCAAAAAUAUAUUUAAACCCCCGACCUACGACUUUACAAAAGAAAAAAAUGAUUUUUUUGAAAAAAUAGUAUAUUUAGUUAUAUUACCAAUAUAUAUAACUAAAUUUACCACGCAAAAAUUUUGUGGUAUACUUUCUUUUCUUGGUAUAUUUGUUUUUUUGUAUUACCAAAAUUACAUAACAAAAUAUUUCACAAAAUUUAUUUGGUAUAUAAGUUUUGACCUUUAAUGUGAGUAAUUUUUUUUUACUUGUAUAAUAUGUUUUGAUAUUUGUUUUGUAAAAUUAUGUAAUAUAUUUACUUAUUUAUCAAAAAUAAAAAAAUUAUGGAAAUUGUUUUUUUGAAUUUUUAAUUUUUUGUUGGUCAUCGUCGGUUGGGCAUGACGAUGGUUACGGUUUAUUAACCACCGGUUAUGGUUAUAAAUUUUCUUUAACCAUAACCUUAACGUUUAUAUAUACGGUUACAAUGGUGACGGUUAUAUACAGUUACGGUUAAAUCCGGUUACAGUUAAAUACGGUUACGGUUAUUUGAUGUUUAUAAUAUAAAUAAUAUUAAAGGCAAAAUUUUAUAUUUUCUUACCAUAUCAAAUAAUGUUUAUUUAAAAAUAUGAAAUAUAUGUAAUUAUAUGAUUCAAAUAUUUAUAGUACAUUAGUUAAAGAAAUGAUUUUUGGUUAAUCAAAGACAACUACAAAUAUAUAAACUAAUGGUUAUGAACCUACAAAUAUUUAAAUUAAAUUAUUUUUGAUUUGAUUAAUGGAAAUGUGUAGUGGAAUGGAUUAGGGUUACUAGUUGACAUAUUUAACCAUUUUUUUUAUUGGUAGGAAACAUGAGACAAAGUCUCCUAACUUGUACUCAAAACAAAAACAAAUUACACCGAAUAGUCCGUGGAAUCGAAGUUCCACACAUAUCCUCUAACAAAAUCAAAUUGAGCUCACUCAGGCAUCCAACCAAAGAAAGAAACCCCAGCGAUAAACAAAACGCAUAGUUCGCUAAUCCAUCCGCCAGGCGAUUAGCUUCCUUAUACACAUGAGUAACCCGGACUAGUCAGUCCCUUGAUAUAAAGUCUUGGCACAAACUUACCAGGAACGCCAAUGGAUGAGCAUCACUCACCCCUGACUACAAAAACCCCACCACCAGAACGGAAUCCACCUCCAACACCACACGUCUAAACCCUUCGUCCCAUGCAAGAAGUAACCCAUAAUACACCUCCCGCCGCUGCUUGACCCGGGUUACCACGUGAGGCACCAUUCGUAUUGACCGUAACCCAUCCCUCAGCCAAAGUCUUCCAUACUAUAUGCCGCUCCACUCUCUCCCCUGCCGGAAAAUCUCCUCCGAGAUAAGCCUGAGCUCGAAGAACCUCCGCUGCCAUGGUCUUAACAAAUUGCAACCUAUCACGACAAUGACCUUGUUGCCCAAACACAUUCAUACACCGCCAAUACCACCCCCACCAAACUGCCAUAGAAAACACCACAGCCCAAUCCUCACUUCCCGACACAUCCUUCUUACAUAAAUAAGUAUACAACCACUCAAGUAUCGACCCCUUGAAAAACCGGCCUUGAUCUCUACUCGUAACCAACCGUUUCCAUAGCCCUUUCAUUGUUGGACAGUCACGCAAGACAUGAAUUAUAGACUCCGUGGCGAACUUACACACUUGACAUACAUCAGAAUCACCCAUGUGCCGUCUCUUCCUUUCCUCACUUGUCAAGAUGACUUGGUGUCCAACCUGCUAUAAGAACACACGAACCCUUUCGGAAACCUUAGCCUUCCAGAAUUUGUCAAAAAAUCUGGCCAUAUUCGGCCCUUCCACUAUCCCCGCUUAGUAGAGAGUAAGCCGAUCGAACUAUAAAUGCACCAUUAUCGUUCCCUGACCAAGAAAAAUGGUCCACUAGCCCCGGGACUCCCUUCAGCACAAUCGCAUAUCGACGUUGUUUAAUAUUAUAUGGGAGAAGGUUUCCCAUACUUGCCAUAUUCCAUCCAAAACCCUCGAUCCAGUACUCAUGAGCCUUCAUCCGUAACACCAUUUCUGAGAUCCCCGUCGAAACGCAACUCACUAAUGGCUUUUCCAACAACCAUCGAUCGGUCCAAAAACAAAUCGAUCUUCCGUCUCCCGGGAUCCAACCAAAACCCCUCAUCACCACAUCUCGCAACCCAACCCUAAUGCUUCGCCACGUUGAAGACCAAGUACUCUUGGAGACCAAGCAAGUCGGAUCAUGUACUACCCCCAACUUAUAUUUAACCAUUUUUUUUUCAUCAACAUAUUUAGCCAUUUAAGACAUUGUUUUAAUGAGAUAAUUUUUAGAUAAAUUCUCUCUAAUAACCUUUUUAUCAUACCUUUUUGCAAAACUAUCAUUUUUGCCAUUUACAUUUUUUCCCUCUCAUAAAUUUUAGUGACCAUUUUACCCCUAGUUGAAAAAAUAUUUCUUCUUUUGGACGGAAUAUUCAUUCCAAAAUUUUUCCCGCCAAAAACUUUUCCGCCAAAAAUUUUCUGCCAAAAAAAUUUCCCACCAAAAUUUAUAAAUUUUAUAAAAUGAUUUACAAAUGUUUUAAAAGGUUUACUAAAGUUUUUGAAGGUUUUGAAUUACUUUUAAAAGAUUUACAAGGGUUUUAAAAAGAUUUUUUAAGAGUUAUAAAAAUAUUUACAAGGUCUUUUAAAAGGUUUUUUAAAGAAAUGCGGAAAAAUUAUGGCUGAAACUUUGGUGGGAAAAUGUUUAAGCGGAAAAAGUUUUGUCAGCCGGAAUAUUCUUUUUGUUGGAAAUAUUAUUCAUUUCUUCAUCAUAUGUUAUACUAAAGGAGGUGAUUUACUUAUUUUGUACAUAGAAGAGGGUAUUUUUCAAAUGGACACCAAAAGAAUGUAUUUGUACAAAAGAGUAACAUAAAAAGGUUAUUUGUGCAAAUUUCUCUAAUUUUUAUUCAAGGUUUAAUUUUACGGUUAACUAACGGUUUUAUACGGUUAAGGUUGAUAACAGUUACGGUUAAUACUUUUUUAUAACCGUGGCCGAUUUAUUUUUACAAUUAAAGGUUAUGGUUUUUAGUCGUUUUAUACGGUUACAGUUGAAAAACGGUCUGGUUAGAGUUAGAAUUACGAUUAAAAGUAAGAUUUUGGUCAUGUCUAACGUUGGUCAAUGCCGGUCAAAAUUGGUCAACGCCGGAUUUUGGCGAUAAAGUCACCAGAAAUAGAUGGUUAUGGUGUUGUAUACAUAACUUAUAACUUAUGUUUGUUUAUGUAUAUAUAUUUUUUUUUGUCAACAAACUUCGAUUAGAUUGACUUAAGUACGCCAAUUGGUGGGAUAAUUGUUUACAAACGUAACGGAAUGCGGAAAGGCACACACAUUACGUGCCAAACUAUCCGCUUGAACAUUUGAAUUUCUUGGAACAUAAGAUAAAGAAAAAGUUGAAAAUUCUUCCCUAUCCAUCUUGAUAUCAUCCAGGUAAACAGAGAAGGCCGGCCACUCGGAAGGUAAAGACACCAUCUUUACCAGAUCAGAACAGUCUGUAAGAAACGCCACAUCCCUGAAGUCAUGUCCUAUCAUGCAUCUCAUUGCCCAAAGCAGCGCUUCUACCUCUGCAUGGAGUGGAGAAAGGCUUCUGCGUAGAUUUUUUGCCCCCGCAAACUUAGAAAUUCCUUGAGACUGCUAACAGAACCAUCCUAGACCUAAAUACUUAUCUGUGUCCUUCCAUGAUCCAUCUAUAAAGCAUCGGUAACCUGUAAAUGUCGGAGAUAAGAUUAUGGGACGUCUCCCGACUGGGGGGGAGUGGACCCGACACGACUAGAGGACUUUCUACUUCCUCGACCUGCGCUGCCUGCCAGGCCUCCGCUUCUGUCUUCGCGACUCUGGUUACCUCCUGAGGACAUUGAUCCUCACUGUUAAAAACUUUAGCAUUCCUCGCCUUCCAGAUAUACCAUAUUAACCAAGGAGAGAACUUAUAUUGUCCAUCCUUUGAGGAUAGCCGUAGAAGAUAAUCCAUAUUAGCGUAAAUAGACUCCGUGGGAAACUGGAUAGGACCCACUGGUACUUGUGCCAUAGCCCAGGAUUGUCGUGCACGCGGACAAACGAAUAUGACAUGAUUUGCUGUUUCCACCUGCGUAUCACAUCGUGAAUAAGAUACAUCACAAUUUAUACCACGACCUUUCAAAUUAGGGGAAACCAAGACACAUCCGGUUAAUAACCGCCACAUAAAAUGUUGAAUCUUUGGUGGGCAACGCGUCUGCCAGAUACUUGCAAACAAAGGAAGGAAAUCAGGACCAUAGACCGGAAGGAUAGGGAUUCCCGGAUCCUUUAACCGGGCUAUAUGAUAACCAGAUUUUACCGUAUAUUUGCCAUUUUUCGUGAAAUGCCAUCCUAUAGUAUCAGCCUUAGGCUUACUACCUAUAGGUAUAGCACUAAUCAAGGUAACAUCGCUUGGAUCAAACACGACAUUCAACACGUCCAUACACCAUGAGUUAGACUGAAGAUCCAUGUUUAUGUAUAUCCUUAUGUAAUAACAAUAAUUCAUGUAAUUAACGAAACAAUUCUAGUAUUAUUUACAUGUAUGUAGCUGAGAAUUAUUUUUUCAGUUAUAAAUAAACAAAGCCGGACUGAACUCAUAAAGUUUUUUUAACACUCGAUAACACAUUAUGCUCAUUCUUGAGUUUACGGGGGUGUAUUGAAAGUAGAAUUUUAAGAGAUUUGUGUAGAACUUAUAAAUCCACUGUUAUCCAAACAUGAAUUUUAAAAAGUCUCAUGAAAUCCACUGUUAUUCAACUAAUGAUUUCAAAAUCCAUUUUAAAAUCCACUGUUAUUGAAAACAAUUUGUGGAUUUGGCUUUUAAUGAUUUUGAAGGAUUUCAGAGGAUUUGAGAGGAUUUCAUUAGUUAAAAAUACAGAAAUCAAAAUCCCAUGGUUUUUGGUGAGAUUUGAAAGGAUUUUACAAAAGUCAUAUGAACUUCCCUAAAAUCAUCAAAAUCAUUUAAAAACUCAAUAAAACUCAAAUAUCUUAAAAUUCCAUUUUGAAUACAUCCCUCGUAAACAUCUUUUUAUUCUACUAGGGGUUAUCCGGGCUACGCCCGGUUUAUAUUUGACAAUUUAAUUUAUUAUAUCAAUCAAUAUAGAUCUUUUUGUUUAUUCUUUUUAAAAAAAGAUAGAAAUAUAUUUUUCAUUUUAGAUACGAAUUGAAAUAUUUUUUUUAUCAUAUGAUGACUAACUCAAUAACAAUAUCUAUUUUUUGGACAACAACUCAAUAACAUAUAUAAUACUUUUUCAUACUCAUGAUAAGAUCGCAGUUUAUUAGUAUAGGACAUAUGUUAUCGUUCUUAUAUCUUGAUUGUUUGUUUGUUUCGUGAACCACCAUAUACACGAACAUGAAUAACAAAGUAAAUAUACAAUAUACGCCUUUUCACCAUCAGUGCAGCUGUGUAAUUAAUUAUACGAUCAAAUUAUAUACAUAUUUUUUAAUUUACAAGUUACUUAACAGUUGAACAAUACAUAUACACAUUAGCAACAUCAAUUUAAAGUGGAAAGGGGCAAAAAUUACACUCCAUCAAGAUUCUCCUUGCGCAUUAGAUAUUAAAAACAAAAUACCACAUUUCUCCAUUAUUUUGUAAAUUCAUAAUCAACAAAGUUGAGUGCAAAUCUAACUAACCACAUGAAGACAUGAGAUGAGUGCAAAAUCAUAACCAUCUAAAAACCUGAGAGGAGUGCAAAAUCGAAUUAGAACAUGUGGGUUUGAUCCUAGUAUUAUAACCAAAUCAAUGCACUAAAUAAUUUAUUUGUAAAUUAAAUGAAUAUGUAUUCCAGUAAAAUGAAAGAGCUAAGAAAUAUGGCAACGGAAGAAGAGAUAAAAAGUGAAAACAUCAAACAUAAACCUAUUAAGAUUGAUGUAAUAUAAUUUAUAAUCUGUAUCUAAUCGAUGAAAUACGAUAAAUGAAUCGUGGUUUGCAAAGUGACGACUAAGAUUGUUUACUUCACGUUGUGGACCACUUUCUAGUAUGUAUGAGGUUUCUCCUCGCUAUCACUAUAUCUUUUAAUCUAGCAAAAACAUUAGAAAUUAGAUAUGUCUCACUUUAGAUAGUAAAUUUGUGUAAUUAAGUCUCUACAGAGAAAGGAAAGUUUUUAAAGGAGAAGAGACGAAGAAAUUGACGUAUGAGGUAUAAUUUUACCUUUGAUUGAAGAGUGGGGAUGUGAGAUCGCUUUGUAUCUACAUCGUUGUAUCUCAAAUCAUUAUUAUUAUUUUUAUUGAUUUUUGUGGGUAACUGAAAAAAGAAUAAGGUGAUGGAGAGUUAUGAGGAAGUAGAACAGUUUCUUAUUUAGCUAAACGAAGGCAUCUCCUAAAGUCAAUUUAAGUUUAAACAUGUAGCCAAAGUAUGCUGACACGGCAUGUUAAAAGAGUGCUUAAUAAAGCUGAGGUGGACACUCUCAAUAGCCUCAAAUUGUCCCUUUUUAUUAGUAGAGAUUAGGUUAUUAACCCCCUACGCGCGGGUAUAUUCGUAUUGAUUAUAUUUAAAUUGUUUUAGAUUUACUAAUCAAUAUAAUUAGCAUAAGUAUGUUUCUAUUAAUAUCAAUUACAAAAUAUUUAGAUUAAAUACUCAUUUAUAUAGCUAUAUAUUUACAAAAAAAUAUGCAAAAGUGCUAUAACAUUUUAGUUUUAUUUUAAUAUAAAAUUCUUUUAUUUAUAGUUUGUGUAUCAUUUACAUUAUUUCAAUUUUUAUUAGGAUACAAAAGAAAAAUUUAAAAUUAUAUACGUUUAGUUAAAAUCUUAUUUUCUAUAGAUUGAUGUUGGUAAUAAAUGCACCUAACAAAUGACCACAAAAAUUUAAAUAUUCCAUGUCUUUUCACCUUUAACAUUCCAAUUGAAUCUUUAUAAAUUACGUUGUUGUCAUAUAUUAGAAAUACUUAACUUUUAUGACUUCCUUAUUUUGUUAUGCACAAUUUCAUUACCAUUUUUUUCUUACUCACUUCAUUUUUGUUAGUAUAGGUUAUCUCAAGAUAAUAUUCUAAAAAACUAAUGACUAUUUAAUACCAUGACUUCUAUAAAAGUUUUUUUUGUAAGUUUUGCAACUACUAUCUUUCAUUGUUAUAUAAUGUAUGAGCGUUAACCAUAUAUUUUAGCACUUCUUUUAUUCUCCAAAAUCUAACUACAACCAUACUUUUAUUUCAUCUACGUUCAACAUUUUAUAUAAGGUUUGUUUUAGCAAUUACAAAAUAAAAUACUACUAGAAUUGUACCCGCGCUACAGCGCGGGAGAAAAGUUUCGAUUUGAAUUUUUUUCAUAAGAAAAAUAUUUUAUUAAAAUUAGGGUUUUCCGGUUUUAUUGAUAAUUUGUAAUGAUAAUUCAAAAGUAACAGUUAAACAGUUGCAAUUGGGAGUGGGGGUAUUAAUUUCGUUUUCGUUAAUCCAAAUAGUUAAAAUUUUGAUGGGCACUUAUUUUAAAAUAUACAGUAAAACCUCUAUAAAUUAAUACUCGAUAAAUUAAUAAUCUCUCUAAAUUAAUAAAUUUAUCCGGUCCCAAGUUGGGACCAGUGUAGUUUUAGACAUAUUUCGAUAAAAUAAUAAGAUAAUAAUUUUUUUGAAAAUCCUUUGUAAAUAUAUGGUCCCAAUAAUAUUAUAAAUUAAUAAUUAGGUAAAAUUUUCAAAAUAUAUGUAUAUAUAGACACAUAAGUUUUUGUUAGAGUUUAUUUCUAAUAUUUACUAUAUCAAAAAUUGUUAGCAUUCUCUUUCAAGACAUAAUUAUUAUUAUUUUCUUUGUAAUUGAUUAUAAAAUACUAAUUAUUAUGAUUAAAUCUUAUUUUUAAAUAUUUUUUUGAAAAAAACUUUCAAAUUAGGAAAAUCUCUCUAUAAAUUAAUAAUUAUUAAUUUAUCGAUAAAUUAAUACCUCUAUAAAUUAAUAGAUUUUCAUGGUCCCAACAUUAUUAAUUUAUAGAGGUUUUACUGUAUUUUGUGAUUUUUUUUGUUUUAGUUUUUUUAACAAAAAAAUAAUUGGUAUGUUAUUAUAUGUAAAUGUUUGUUUAUUUUCUUUUAAGAAAAACUAUAUUUGGACCCGCACAUACGUGCGGGAAUAUAUUUUUGGAUAUAACUAUUUGAUAUAAUCUUUAUAACUCAUAUUUAUAAUGAUUUGGUUUCAUCAAAUUUCUGAAUGUUUGUAAUAAUAAUGGUUUCAUUAUAAUAUUUGGAUCGAGACAAAAAAAAAUCCAGAUUGACAUGAGGAUGGAUCCGAUUCGGCAUGAGGAUGGAUAAAUUUUCUAAUUUAGACAUAAUACUAAUUUAGAAAAUUUUCUAAUUUAGAAUUAAUUUUUCUAAUUUAGACAUAAUACUCAAAUUAUUAUGAUUUCCAUGAAUAAUACAGUAAAACCUCUAUAAAUAGGAGAUUUGCACAACUAACCUUUUUAUGAUACCCUUUUCUACAAGUACCCUCUCUAGGUGUCCAUUUUCAAAAAUACUCUCUUCAAUGUACAAAAUGACUAAAUUACCCUCCUUUAUUAUAACCCAUGAUGAAGAAAUGAGUAUUCUUUCCAAUAAGAAGAAUAUUCCUUCUGAAAAAUUUCCCGCCAAAUUUUCCCGCCAAAAAAUUCUGACAAAAAAUUUUCCCGCCAAAAAUUUUCCGACAAAAUUUUUUCCGCAAUUCCUUUAAAAAAUCCUUUAAAAAACCCUUGUAAAUCUUUUAAAAGUCAUCCAAAACCUUUCAAAACUUGAGUAAACCUUUUAAAACCAUUGUAAAUCAUUUUAUAACAUUUAUAAACACUUGUAAAUCCCUUUAAACCCCUUAUAACCGUGAUAAAUCAUUUAAUAAAAACUUUUGUAAACUUCUAAAACCCUUUAAAACCCUUGUAAAUCCUUAAAAACCAUUUUAAAGAAUUUGUAAUACCUUUAAAAACUUUUGUAAACCCUUCAAAAACCUUUGUAAACUUCUAAACCCUUUAAAACUUCUUCUAAAUCCUUUAAAACAAUUUUUCAAUCUUUGUAUGCCUUUAAAUACACUUUUAAAUCCUUUUAAAAACACUUGUAAAUCUUUGUAAAACUGUUAUAAACUUAAAAACUUUUAAAAACCAUUGUAAAUCAUUUAAAACCUUUGUAGGCUUCUAAAACCCUUUAAAAACCAUUACAAAUCUUUUAAAAACCAUUUAAAAACUCUUGUAAAUCCCUUUAAAAACCCUUGUAAACCCUUUAAAAGACCCUUUAAAAAAUCUUGUAAACCCUUUAAACAAAAUUUGGCGGGAAAAUUUUUCUCGGAAACUUUUUUGGCGGGAAAGUUUUUGGCGGGAAAUUUUUGGGGGGGGAAAUUUUUGGAUGGAAUAUUCCUUCCUUUUGGAAAGAAUAUUCUUUCAAAUAGGGGUAAAAUGACCAUUAAAAUAUAAGAGAAUGCAUAAAUGAAAAUGUUAAAAAAAAAGAGGGUAUUUUUAAAAGAGGGUAUCAUAAAAAGGUUAUUGGUAUCAAUUUCUCUAAAAGAUAACAGUUGAGGUAUUAAUCACAAAUUUGAAUUUAUGUAUGUACUUUGUAUUUUUUUUUGUCAUCAUGUAUGUACUUUGUAUAGAUAGGAAUUUAUUUAUAAUAUUUUGAAUUCAUGGUUAUUUUUUUUUAUAAAUAUAGAAUUCAAUUCUAAGCUAAAAAAAAUUAUAUAAUCUUAAAAACUAUUCUUGUUUGGUAUUUUUAAAAAGGGGUACACCAAAAGGGGUAUUUCUCAAAAAUUCUCUUAAUUUAUAGAGGUUUUACGGUAGUUAGUUAGUAGUUUUGAUGUUUUAAUUAAUUUUAAAGCAUAUUUAUUUCCUUUGAAAAUAUAUUUUGUUGUCUUUAAGAUAUUUGAAAAUUUUGAUAUAUAAUAUAAUAAUGCUUAAACUUAUAAAUUUUUAAUUGAGUUUAAGUAUUUACUAUAUUUUAAACUUUACAUUUAGUUUAAAUAUUUAUAAUAUUUUUAAAACCUUUUAAAGGAGUAAAUAUUAUUAAUACCUAAACUUCUAUAGAAUUUAGAUAUUUAUAGCAUUUUGGAUCUUUCCUUGGACCUAAUUUAUUUUGCAUGUUUAUUUACCUAAUUUAAACUAUUUACAUAUAUACAAUUUAAAAUACUAUAAAUGGCAAUUUAUUUCCAACGUUUCAAAAAUUAAAAUAUCAUAAUAUUUUGAAAUAUAUUAGUUUAAAUUAUCUAAAAUUUAUUAGAAAAAUCUAAAAUAUGUUUAAAAAUAUAAAAUUUCGAAUUUAAUAGGCCUUAUUUUAUGGUAACAAAUUUAUCAUGAUUUUCAUAAAUAUUGGUUAGUUAUUAGUUUUGAUUUUUCUAUUUAUUUUAAAGCAUAUUUUUUUUAUUUGAAAAUCUGUUAUUAAUUUUGUUUGGCUAUAGGUUUAGGAUUACAUUUUAUUUCAUUUUUUCUAUUUAAUCUAUUUGGGAAAUUUUUAAAAAUUUUCCGACAAAAUUUUUUCCGCAAUUCCUUUAAAAAAUCCUUUAAAAAACCCUUGUAAAUCUUUUAAAAGUCAUCCAAAACCUUUCAAAACUUGAGUAAACCUUUUAAAACCAUUGUAAAUCAUUUUAUAACAUUUAUAAACACUUCUAAAUCCCUUUAAACCCCUUAUAACCGUGAUAAAUCAUUUAAUAAAAACUUUUGUAACCUUCUAAAACCCUUUAAAAACCCUUGUAAAUCCUUAAAACCCAUUUUAAAGAAUUUGUAAUACCUUUAAAAACUUUUGUAAACCCUUCAAAAACCUUUGUAAACUUCUAAACCCUUUAAAACUUCUUCUAAAUCCUUUAAAACAGUUUUUCAAUCUUUGUAUGCCUUUAAAUACACUUUUAAAUACUUUUAAAAACACUUGUAAAUCUUUGUAAAACUGUUAUAAACUGAAAAACUUUUAAAAACCAUUGUAAAUCAUUUAAAACCUUUGUAGGCUUCUAAAACCCUUUAAAAACCAUUACAAAUCUUUUAAAAACCAUUUAAAAACUCUUGUAAAUCCCUUUAAAAACCCUUGUAAACCCUUUAAAAGACCCUUUAAAAAAUCUUGUAAACCCUUUAAACAAAAUUUGGCGGGAAAAUUUUGAAAAAAUAUUUUUAUUUUUUGCGGAAUUUUUUUUGGCGGGAAAAUUUUUCUCGGAAACUUUUUUGGCGGGAAAGUUUUUGGCGGGAAAUUUUUGGGGGGGGGAAUUUUUGGAUGGAAUAUUCCUUCCUUUUGGAAAGAAUAUUCUUUCAAAUAGGGGUAAAAUGACCAUUAAAAUAUAAGAGAAUGCAUAAAUGAAAAUGUUAAAAAAAAAGAGGGUAUUUUUAAAAGAGGGUAUCAUAAAAAGGUUAUUGGUAUCAAUUUCUCUAAAAGAUAACAGUUGAGGUAUUAAUCACAAAUUUGAAUUUAUGUAUGUACUUUGUAUUUUUUUUUGUCAUCGUGUAUGUACUUUGUAUAGAUAGGAAUUUAUUUAUAAUAUUUUGAAUUCAUGGUUAUUUUUUUUUAUAAAUAUAGAAUUCAAUUCUAAGCUAAAAAAAAUUAUAUAAUCUUAAAAACUAUUCUUGUUUGGUAUUUUUAAAAAGGGGUACACCAAAAGGGGUAUUUCUCAAAAAUUCUCUUAAUUUAUAGAGGUUUUACGGUAGUUAGUUAGUAGUUUUGAUGUUUUAAUUAAUUUUAAAGCAUAUUUAUUUNNNNNNNNNNNNNNNNNNNNNNNNNNNNNNNNNNNNNNNNNNNNNNNNNNNNNNNNNNNNNNNNNNNNNNNNNNNNNNNNNNNNNNNNNNNNNNNNNNNNAUUUCCUUUGAAAAUAUAUUUUGUUGUCUUUAAGAUAUUUGAAAAUUUUGAUAUAUAAUAUAAUAAUGCUUAAACUUAUAAAUUUUUAAUUGAGUUUAAGUAUUUACUAUAUUUUAAACUUUACAUUUAGUUUAAAUAUUUAUAAUAUUUUUAAAACCUUUUAAAGGAGUAAAUAUUAUUAAUACCUAAACUUCUAUAGAAUUUAGAUAUUUAUAGCAUUUUGGAUCUUUCCUUGGACCUAAUUUAUUUUGCAUGUUUAUUUACCUAAUUUAAACUAUUUACAUAUAUACAAUUUAAAAUACUAUAAAUGGCAAUUUAUUUCCAACGUUUCAAAAAUUAAAAUAUCAUAAUAUUUUGAAAUAUAUUAGUUUAAAUUAUCUAAAAUUUAUUAGAAAAAUCUAAAAUAUGUUUAAAAAUAUAAAAUUUCGAAUUUAAUAGGCCUUAUUUUAUGGUAACAAAUUUAUCAUGAUUUUCAUAAAUAUUGGUUAGUUAUUAGUUUUGAUUUUUCUAUUUAUUUUAAAGCAUAUUUUUUUAUUUGAAAAUCUGUUAUUAAUUUUGUUUGGCUAUAGGUUUAGGAUUACAUUUUAUUUCAUUUUUUCUAUUUAAUCUAUUUGGGAAAUUUUUAAAAAUUUUCCGACAAAAUUUUUUCCGCAAUUCCUUUAAAAAAUCCUUUAAAAAACCCUUGUAAAUCUUUUAAAAGUCAUCCAAAACCUUUCAAAACUUGAGUAAACCUUUUAAAACCAUUGUAAAUCAUUUUAUAACAUUUAUAAACACUUCUAAAUCCCUUUAAACCCCUUAUAACCGUGAUAAAUCAUUUAAUAAAAACUUUUGUAACCUUCUAAAACCCUUUAAAAACCCUUGUAAAUCCUUAAAACCCAUUUUAAAGAAUUUGUAAUACCUUUAAAAACUUUUGUAAACCCUUCAAAAACCUUUGUAAACUUCUAAAACCCUUUAAAACUUCUUCUAAAUCCUUUAAAACAGUUUUUCAAUCUUUGUAUGCCUUUAAAUACACUUUUAAAUACUUUUAAAAACACUUGUAAAUCUUUGUAAAACUGUUAUAAACUGAAAAACUUUUAAAAACCAUUGUAAAUCAUUUAAAACCUUUGUAGGCUUCUAAAACCCUUUAAAAACCAUUACAAAUCUUUUAAAAACCAUUUAAAAACUCUUGUAAAUCCCUUUAAAAACCCUUGUAAACCCUUUAAAAGACCCUUUAAAAAAUCUUGUAAACCCUUUAAACAAAAUUUGGCGGGAAAAUUUUGAAAAAAUAUUUUUAUUUUUUGCGGAAUUUUUUUUGGCGGGAAAAUUUUUCUCGGAAACUUUUUUGGCGGGAAAGUUUUUGGCGGGAAAUUUUUGGGGGGGGAAAUUUUUGGAUGGAAUAUUCCUUCCUUUUGGAAAGAAUAUUCUUUCAAAUAGGGGUAAAAUGACCAUUAAAAUAUAAGAGAAUGCAUAAAUGAAAAUGUUAAAAAAAAAGAGGGUAUUUUUAAAAGAGGGUAUCAUAAAAAGGUUAUUGGUAUCAAUUUCUCUAAAAGAUAACAGUUGAGGUAUUAAUCACAAAUUUGAAUUUAUGUAUGUACUUUGUAUUUUUUUUUGUCAUCGUGUAUGUACUUUGUAUAGAUAGGAAUUUAUUUAUAAUAUUUUGAAUUCAUGGUUAUUUUUUUUUUAUAAAUAUAGAAUUCAAUUCUAAGCUAAAAAAAAUUAUAUAAUCUUAAAAACUAUUCUUGUUUGGUAUUUUUAAAAAGGGGUACACCAAAAGGGGUAUUUCUCAAAAAUUCUCUUAAUUUAUAGAGGUUUUACGGUAGUUAGUUAGUAGUUUUGAUGUUUUAAUUAAUUUUAAAGCAUAUUUAUUUCCUUUUUUUUUUUGGUAAAUAGCAUAUUUAUUUCCUUUGAAAAUAUAUUUUGUUGUCUUUAAGAUAUUUGAAAAUUUUGAUAUAUAAUAUAAUAAUGCUUAAACUUAUAAAUUUUUAAUUGAGUUUAAGUAUUUACUAUAUUUUAAACUUUACAUUUAGUUUAAAUAUUUAUAAUAUUUUUAAAACCUUUUAAAGGAGUAAAUAUUAUUAAUACCUAAACUUCUAUAGAAUUUAGAUAUUUAUAGCAUUUUGGAUCUUUCCUUGGACCUAAUUUAUUUUGCAUGUUUAUUUACCUAAUUUAAACUAUUUACAUAUAUACAAUUUAAAAUACUAUAAAUGGCAAUUUAUUUCCAACGUUUCAAAAAUUAAAAUAUCAUAAUAUUUUGAAAUAUAUUAGUUUAAAUUAUCUAAAAUUUAUUAGAAAAAUCUAAAAUAUGUUUAAAAAUAUAAAAUUUCGAAUUUAAUAGGCCUUAUUUUAUGGUAACAAAUUUAUCAUGAUUUUCAUAAAUAUUGGUUAGUUAUUAGUUUUGAUUUUUCUAUUUAUUUUAAAGCAUAUUUUUUUAUUUGAAAAUCUGUUAUUAAUUUUGUUUGGCUAUAGGUUUAGGAUUACAUUUUAUUUCAUUUUUUCUAUUUAAUCUAUUUGGCUACACCUUUAAAAAAUGCUUCCCUUUUAAUAGUAUAGAUAUGAAUCGUGCUUUUUUAAGUUUGUGUAGUAAUAUUGGGUAAUAAUAUAUGUUAGAUUAAUGAAAUAAUAUUUACUAAUUUUUUUAAUUUGAACUUAGUAAACGGACUUCUAAUGAAAUAUAAUGAUUUUUCUUCACAAAUCUUAAGGAUAAGAAUCCAUGAGGAUGGUGUAAGUAUUGUUUAAGUGUUGUUAAUAAUAUUUCGAAAUCCAAACAAAAAGGCCCCAACUAAAGAGUCCAUUUUAAAUGUCUUACCAGCAAUACACGUAGGUAAAAUUAAUUAUCUCACAAAAGAAACAAAGUAAUCAACGCAUACACAGUGAAUGUUCUUAAUUUUCCUAAAUCUAGAUGAACAACCGAUUUCCUUCCAUGGUUUUUUCCAAAAAUCGUUUCCAUGAUAUCUCGAAACUUUCAUUUUUAAACUUUAGUGAAUAAUGUUUACACGGUUUUCAGAAGAAUUGUAUUUUUGAAAAAAGUAAAUCUUAUUCGAUGUUUGCUUUGAAUCUAUACAUGGAACAAUAGAAGAUAUGUUCAUAAGACACAUGCGAUAAACAUGAUUGGUUGCCCUGAAUUUUUUCAUUGCCUUAGUCAACAUGAAAUUCUCAAUGAUACUCCAUUGUCCAAGUACCUUAGAAAGGAUAGAAAUUAAAGUGUUGUUAGAAGACGUAAUGCAUGAGAAAGCAAAAAUGGAAAAACUUGUGAAUCAGUAGCCAUUGUCAUAGGGAAAUAAUUAAGAUGGAGAAGAAUGGUUUUCUUGAAUGUCGAAUAAAGACUUUCGACUACAAUCGUUAUAUAGGAGAAGGGUUACUGCGUUAAUUUAGGUUUAGUUUGGUAAAGAAUAUUCAGGCAAUAUUCUUUAAAUAAUUAUACGUGAUUAACUGGGAAAGUUAAUUACAAUAAUUUUAUGAUUUGAUCUACGUAUAUAUGGAUAGUUUAGCUUUCUCGACGCUGUUGACAAAAUUAAUUAAAUUUUUUUAACAAAUGUUUGAAGAUUGUAAUCAAAUUAUUGUAUAUUCUUUCAACUUAUAAUCCCGUAAUUUGAUAUUUUGUAAACAUAAAAUUCCGUAACAAAUGUAAAACAUAAAAUUAGGAAUAUGUUAGUCUAAUAUAUUAAUUAGCGUUGCCAUAAAUGUUACAAUUUAAUAAUUAAUGACAGAAUUAGCGUUGAUAUAGCAUAGCAUAACAUUCGGCGAUGUAUUAAGAAAAAAUUAGGAAAUGGAUCUAACCCGAACCCAUAGAAAUAUCCGAUUAAAAAGAUCCAAUUUCAAUUUCCGGAUAUUUUUUCUAUUUAACCCGACCCGAAAGAGUUUUUUGUACUUCGCUUUUACUAAUAUAGAGAUAUACAAGUAAGCAAUUAAGAUCAUGAUCACAUAUUAAUAGUACCAAAAACAUCCAAACCAGUCAAUUAAAAACAAAAAUUGCGCUCACAGAACACUGUCGAUUGACACCAUCAACUAGUGUCGGUCGACACCCUCAACUGGUUUCGGUCGACACCACCACGAUAAUGCACUGCGAACAACAGUCUAAUGUCGAUCGACACCCUCCUGGUGUCAAUCAACACUCACACCCUAGAACACAUCCAAUUUUGAUCUGAUAAACUAGAGGACCUAAAAUCAUCACCACAUCAUCUCCCACGCCGACACAACCAAGGAACAGCUACAGAAGGCCACAUAAACACCAGAAACACAUAAUACAACAAGGAAAAUCAUUCCACACAUCAAAUAAACACAAAACACACAAUCUUAAUGCUUAGAUAAGCCGUGGUCACGAACUCACUUUGAUAAAGAACUAACAAUGAAGAAAACAACACAAUCAGAGGCAGCACAAGACUCUCUUAACACCACAGCCACAAAAUCUUCCUUCCCUUUAGUCAAAACUCUCAAGAACAUCACCUAAAUCUCUCUAAAAGCCCAUAGAACUUCACAGGAAAACUUAGGAACUUUUUCCACUCUUCUGAAAGAAUAAAAGCGGUUGAUAACCCUUCAAGGCGCCGAGUUUUCUCUUUAAAAUGAGGUUUAGGGUUUAGCGAUACCAUCCCAAAUUAAUUUUUCAAUUUAAAACAAACAUGUCAAACCGAAAUUUGUUGGUGUUGAUCGACACUAACAAAAUUUCAGACAGGGGUGUUACAAUUAGGGAUCGACACUAACCCGCUCAACAAUCCUGAAAAGACCCAUAAACUCGGGCGUUAUAAGUAGGUAUUUACAAAUAUGAAUACCUUUUAUAUCCAUAGUCACUACAGCCUAAUAUAAUUUUGAAAGAAUAGAAACGAUAAGCUUUACUUUGUCCACACAUAGGCUUUCGUGAUUACCAAUUAAAAUGUUUACUGAUUAUGUCAUUUGCCCUACUGUAUGAUAAAUUAUUUUUUGUUGUUAGUAUAAUAAAUUUGUAUUCACAUUACAGCUUGAUUUGCAACUCAUCACUACAACUUAUCAAAUCAACUUUCUAAUUGGUCUAGUGUAAGAAACCAAAAAAGAGUUCAAACCUUUUUACAUGUGUAUAUGGGGACAUUAAUAGAAAAAUAUUACCUCCCUUCUUUUGAGGUUGACUAGACUAACCAACAAAAGACACAUAAUAAAUAAAUAAAACUUCUUUUGAUAUAAGUCUUCUUAUAUAGAAAGCUUUCACAUAUAGCUAUUAUUUUUUAAAAUUUUAAUUUCUAUUUUUCUGUAACAACCUUUCUAUAUUUUUAUUUAUAUUAAAAACUACCUAUUUCAAUGUGUUGAAACAUCUUUUGUGGACCUAGUAGAAAAAUAUCAAAGCUAGAAGUCAUCUAUAUAACAUUUUACCCAUUAGUAUCUGAAACCACACAAAUCCUCCUAUCCUUCUUCUUCAAACUUUUUUUUCACCAUGGGUAGGAGAAAAGUUACACACCAAUUGAUCACCGACAACACCACUCGCCGAGUUACAUUUCAAAAACGCAAAGCUGGUUUACUGAAAAAGAUCAAUGAAUUAACCAUCCUUUGUGGUUUACCAGCUUGUGCUAUCAUUUACAACGAGUACAAGGAUGGUCCUGAGCUCUGGCCAAACGUUAACGAGGUUCGUUCUCUUCUUGACAGGUUAAGCAAGCUUCCAGUUGAGAAACAAAUCAAAUACAUGAUGGACCAAAAGGAUCUCAUGGAGAAAAUGAUUCAGGACGCAGAGAAGAAGUUGGAGAAGGAGAAGAUGCAUACUCGUGCUAUGAAUCUUGGGAUAAUGGCUUCAACCAAUGAUCUAACCACCGAAUCAGAUUGUUCAGAGGAACUGGUGAAAGCAGCCAAAGUGGUUGACAAGAAGCUCAAACUCAUCCAAGAGAGAAUCAAGGCUGUGGAAGCAGGAGCCCCCAUCAUCAUGAGAGAUUAGUCUUAUAAAAAAUUUAUUAUCUUAUUAUCUAAUUUAAUCUCAUCGUUUUUAUAAUUCUUUCCGAUUACGAUGUUUGGAUUAAUGGUGUUGACAUUUAUGUUCUAUGAUUUAUGCUUUGCAUUCUUAAGAAGGACUAGGAGAAUUGUAUCAAUCUCGUUGGCCUUUGUGUUGUGUAAUUUUUCAUAGAUUUAAUAGAAUGGAUACCAUGAGUGAUAUAUUCGAUUUAUUACCAAAUUUGUUUUAUAUUUAUGAAGAUUCUAUCCCUUAUAUGUUUGCUAUUUUAAUUUAUUUCUAUUUUUUCAGUCAACGAUAUACUUUCUAUAUUAUAGAAAAUCAUAUAUCUUAUUUCUUAUCAAGAAAAAAACUUAUUUAUUAUCUUCUACAAUAAUUCAAAUUUUUUUUUUUUAUAUAUGAACUACAUACGAUUUAAUCCGUGAUUUAUAGGAAGAACUUUUGUUGGUGCCAAAAAUAACGGUGACAAUCGUCUGUAGUGAAUUCGAUAAAUAUUUCAUAUAUAAAUUAAUAAAAAUAUGUCUUGAAAACCUAAUUAAAUUGGAUUCAUGAAUGAUAGUUUACUCUCAACGGUAGCUAUUUAAUUUUGUUAUUAUAUAUUAUCUAAACACAAUAUUUAGUCCAACUCAAUAUAUAGGCAGCAAUAAAAUUGAAAAUUUUAAUUUUACAGAAAUUUAUUUUAUUGUGCGCGGGUUAUAAUUUUUUUAUAUUUUUAUUUUUAAUUUAUUUUUGCAACGUUUAUUUUGUUGGUUUUGUUAUUCUAUUUUUCAUAUGAUUUUUUUUAAGUUUAUAUUAGUUUAAUAUUUGAAAUGUUAUUGUUAUUUGUUUAACUGUAAAUUAGGCUCAAUAGUAGAUGGUACAACCUGAUUUUACAAAAACACAAAGCAUAACUGCUUUUCUCUCAUGGGCGAUAUCAACGAGAAAAACAAGUCGUUCGUUUUUGUCACUCUUGCCGGCCAUCGUCAUUUCUAUUUUCCAUUGUUUGAAUUUCUCUAAUUCCCUUCUUAAUCUUAGGUUUUGAAUGAAUAUAACGGCAAAUCAUGAGUAUCAACAGUACGCUCUAUGCUAUGCGAUGAUGUUGUGUAAAGUAUUGAGUGUGUCUUUUCUACGUAAGAGUCCGAUAUCUCUAUGGGAUCCAUCUCUGGUUUGGUUUUUGGAUCAAAUUGACCAGAGGCUUUCAGUAGAUAUGACAAAAUCAUUUCUUUUACAAUGUAGUUCCUCCGCUAUUAUGUCAUUUCGAUGGAAUAGUGAUGUCCUUCUUUGUAGAAGGUUUGUUUCCGGUGCUUUCACUCGUUGCCGGUGUUUCUUUCGGUUAAUAACCGGUGAUUGUCCUCUUAUCCGAGGGUAUGGAGGUUUGACUUGGGUGUUUGAUCCUGGAAUUAAUGGAGGCAUCAAUGGACUCGAUGGAAUCAUCAUCAGAGAUCGAAUCAGGUAUAAUCUGAAACAAGUGACAUACGUUAUGGAAAGGACAAUGGCGGUGAGUGACUGUGAUGGCGUUGCUCUCUAUUUACCUUGGCCGGAAAUUUCUGUUUCUAUUGAAAGGAAAAGUAUGGCCACUAAACGGCUGUAACGCCCGUGUCUGGAAAUCCGGGUGGUGUCGAUCGACACUGUGGUCGGGUGUCGAUCGACACUAGUAAUUUUGGUUUGACGGUUUAAGUUUUAAAUCGUCGGUUCAAUUGAGGUUUUGGUUAGGGUUUAACCCUAGGUCUCGUUUAAAAGAAUAAAGGUCGUGAGGUGGCCGCUUUUAUUCUUUUAAAAGGUUUCUAAGUUCUCUAGAGAGGUUUGUGAGGUUUGAGAAGUGUUCUGAGGCUUGUUCUUGGUGUUUCUGUCCUUGGGAAGAUAGAUCUCGUAGCUGUGGUGUUAGAAGAGUCCUUGGUUGCUGUUGUUGUGAUCUGUUCGUCCUUGUUUCUGUCCUUUUGAAAGGUGAGUGCAUGACUAGGCUGAUCUAAGCAGUUUUGAUACAUAUUUUGAGUGUUUCUUCUGAUUGAUCUUUGAUUUCUGUGUUUGCAUGCUUGUCUAUGUGAUAUGGUGUCUUGGUACGAGUCUGAGAAGGAGAUAGAUCAGGCCUGGAGUCCUGGAGUUGGUGGAUUCGUCGAUGAGAAGCGGCUGGAGCGAUGUUAGGGUUUCGGUGUCGCUCGACACCAAGGGAGGGUGUCGAUCGACACCAACUUUCUUUCUCGCAAGGAUGGUCGCGAGUGUCGAGCGACACCAGCGGAUGGUGUCGAUCGACACUGCUCGUCAGAACGGGUCAUGAUGUGUUGUUUUGCGUUGUAUUGGUGGUUGUUUGAGUUAUACUUGAAUGUGUUCAUUUCUGUUUGUGUGUAUAGCCAGUGGUGGGAUGAUUGUCUCACUAAGUAAUUAUGAAAUACUUAUGCAUCUCUUUCUUUGAUGCAGGUAAAAGCAAAGUGUGAUCCGUGGAAUCAUGGCGAGGAGAGGAGGAUGAUCUAGGUGCUCAUUGGUGUUUAGAUGUUUGUAGGAUUUGUUAGAGUGCUAGGAUGGAAUUUAGAAGCAUGUUAGGAUGAAUUCGUUUUCUGGAAUAAUGAUAGUUGAACUUGUUGGAUUAAAGGAAUUGUUUGAUUGGAUUUUUGUUUAAGUCUUCCGCUGGUUACGUUGAAUUGGUUGUGUUAGUGAGAUUGUCUGGUUUGCUUUAAAUGGGUUAAUCCGGAUUGUUCGCAUGUUAAAAAAAAAAAAAUGGGAUGGGUUCUUUCAACGGCAACGAUACGAUAGGCGUUUCGUGCAUAUUUUUUUGAGUUUCAGACAGCAAGAAUCAGAAUCAUUUCAAACAACAUUUCUGUUUUUUAUCUCAACAAAAGUAAUGCGAAAAGAAUUUUGGAGUUUCUUCUAUAAGAUGAUAGCCAAUUAUGAGUAUGUGAAGGGGGGACGUAACAUAUUUUAUCUGUUUGCCUGUAAGGCUUCCAAUCGAAAAGCAAGGUCAUGUCUACUUCUUUAUCAAAACUGUAUUCAAUUUCCUUUAUUUAUGUCAAUGGUUGUUUAUGAAUGGUUCAUGUAUCAUGUAAAACUCUUUAUAAUAUAAUAUACUUGAUUUGGCGAAAAAGUAAUAUUUCAGAAGCCUUAAUUAAAUUGUUGUAACCCUCACAAACUAUUAUGAAUUAUCAAAUUAAAUAGCUCUCUGUAUGUAUCCAUUUAAUAAGUUCAUAUUGUAUAAAAGUAACAUUAUAGACUCACAUAGAUAUAAUUCUUUGCAUUUCUAUUGGCUCUCAUAUAAUAGAUAUAUUGGAGUGUGAAUUGAUUUUGAGGACAUAUCAUAACUAUUUUCUCCUUAAUAAUAGCCCUUUAAAAAGAAAUCUUUUUGUUGUUUGCAGGUUAACAAAAUUUAUUUUACUCACCCUUGACGUCUCGUCAUUGCCACCCUGUCAUUUGACUCAUGGUCGUUGUUUCGAGAGAUGUUGAACUUGGCUAAUUGCAUAUACUUGAGGUUGACAACUUGAAUUUUUUUGUGACUUUAGGUUGGUAUUUUCAUAGUAUCAAAGUUUGGGUAUUAAACAACUGUUAGGAUGAAUGAAUGAAUGAAUUUUCAAAUAGUUUAAUUUAUUCAUGUGCAUUAUUAUCUUGAGAAAUUCUUACUAAUAACCUUUUUAUGAUACCCUCUUGCAAAACUACCCUUUUUGUUUGCCAUUUUCAUUUUUGCCCGCUCUUAAAUUUUAAUGGUCAUUUUACCCCUAGUUGAAAGAAUAUUCCUUUCUUUGGAUGAAAUAUUAUUUCCAAAAAAUAUUCCCGAUAAAAAAAUUUUCGAUAAACUUUUCCUGCAGAAAAAUUUUUUUUUACAAAAUUUUCCCGCCAAAUGUUUUUUUAAGGGUUUACAAGAAGUUUUAAAGGGUCUUUUAAAGGAUUUACAAGGGUUUUUAAAGGAAUUUAGAAAAGUUUUUAAAUGGUUUUUAAAAGAUUUGUAAUAGUUUUUAAAGGGCUUUAGAAGUUUAUAAAGGUUUUUGAAUGGUUUUUAAAGGACAAUGAUUUUUAAAAGUUUUUAUAAGUUUAUAACAGUUUUUAAAGGAUUUACAAGGAUUUUUAAAAGAUUUUCAAAUGGUUUUUAAAAAUUUACAAGGAAUUUUAAAAGGUUUUUAAAAGAAUUAACAAGUGUUUUUAAAAAGAAUUACAAGUGUUUCUAAAUGCAUUUACAAGGAUUUAAGGGUUUAAAAAUUGUUUUAAAAGGAUUUACAAGCAUUUUUAAUGGUAUUUACAAAGAUUUUAAAAUAGCUUAAAGGAUUUACAAGGGGUUUUAAAGGGUUUUAGAAGUUUACGAAUGUUUUUAAAGGGAUUACAAAGGGUUUUAUAGGCAUUACAAGGACUUUAAAAUGGUUUUUUUAAGGAUUUACAAGGGUUUUUAAAAGGUUUUAGAAGUUUACAAAAGAUUUUAUUAAAGGAUUUACCACAGUUAUAAGGGGUUUAAAGGGAUUUACAAGUGUUUAUAAAUGUUAUAAAAUGAUUUACAUAGGUUGUAAAAGGUUUACUUAAGUUUUGAAAGGUUUUGGAUGAUUUUAAAAAGAUUUACAAGGAUUUUAAAAAUAUUUACUAGGUUUUUAAGGAAUUGCGGAAAAUUAUGGCUGAAAACUUUUGGCGGGAAAAUUUUUGUCGGAAAUUUUUGGCGGGAAAGUUAAUGUCAUAAAUUUUUGACGGAAAAUUUUUCGAAAUGAAUAUUCUUUUGUUGGAAAGAAUAUUCUGUUCUUCAACGUGGGUUAUACUAAAGGAUAGUAAUUUUGUCAUUUUGUACAUUAAAGAUGGUAUUUUUGAAAAUGGACAUCUAGACAGGGUAUUUGUAGAAAAUGAUAUCAUAAAAAGGUUAUUUGUGCAAAUCCCCCAAUUAUCUUUUCAAGUUUUAAUAAUUUAUUGUAAACUCGUUUGACUACUAUGCGUCUUUUGUUGGUUGAUUUAGUCAACCUAAAAAAAACAGAGGUAUUAUUUGCCUAUUAAUGUCCCCAUAUACACAUGUAAAAAAAACUUGAACUCUUUUUUGGUUUCUUACAUUAAACCAAUUAAAAAGUUGAUUUGAUGAGUUGUAAAUGAUGAGUUGUAAAUCAAGUUGUAAUGUUAAUACAACUUAUAUUUAUUAUACUGACAAAAAAACAUAAUUUAUCCUACUAAGUAACUGACAUAUGUCAGUAAACAUUUUAAUUAGUAAUCACAAACGCCUAUUUAUGGAUGAACAAAGUAAAGCUUAAGGUUUCUUUUGUUUCAGAUACAUAUUAGGUUUUUGUGAUUAUUGAUUUUAAUGGUGUGCAUAUUUGUAAAUAAGUGUUUACACCACAUCAAAUCCUCUUUUAAUUGGUAUAAUAUUAAAAGUUAAGGCCAAAGUUUUCUACUAUGGUAAAACAUAUAAGGCAAAAUGAAUAUAUAUGUUUCAUUUAAAACAUUUCAUGAGAUCUUAUCCAAAACAUUACAUUUUUCUACAAUUGUAUUUUAAAACCCAGGAUUAUGGUUGGGCUGACAAAAAAUUCAGACGGGAUUUUGUUAUAACAAAAGUGGGGAAUGUUUGUUUAACCCACUGUAAAAUUGGGAUAGGAAAAGACUAAAAAAUGAUCUUAUGAACAAACAUAUAAAAAUAUGCUAUUAUAACUUAUUUUUGAAAAACGUACUAGUUUGACGAUUUUUUUCAAAAACUUUUACUAAAACAUGAAAACUAGUCUCUAUGCAUGGCCUCCGCGUAAUAUACCUCACAUGCUCACAACUCCUCGCUCUCAGGUCGCAACCUAGAGCCAUACCGCUCUCACACUUAGACCUUAGUCUUUAAGUCAUACCAUCUCACUUUUGGGUCGUCACCCUCAAGCACUCCUAGUAUCCGGGGAACUAAUCAUACCCUAUGAGAACUAAUCAUCUCAUCUGCCACUCUCAUCAAAGGAAUCUUCUUACGCCAAAGUUCCUUAACCCUCCUCUCGAGAACCCUCACUGGUAUCGUCUCCAGGGUCAUGUUGGGCAGAAGAUCUGUAGGAAUCUUCGCCAACACCUCAUCAUCCUUAUGCCACCAUUUAUUAAGCAUCAACUCAUCUUUCCCCUCUAUAUAUUUCAUCUUUCUUAGAUGAUAUAUUUUAUGCGGUGUGGGGAAGCAUUUACAACAUAUAUCACACACCCAUAUAAUUUCAAACUAGAAAUAUUUUAUCUCCAAUAAUGAAUACAUAACACGGGAGAAAGAUUUCUUACAAAUUGUUUUCCUCAUGUAUAAUCAUUACUACAUGGAAAAUUUCACGUUUAAUCACCUAUGAAUCGUUUUGCAAUCUCUUGUAUUGCACUAUGAACAAUUCAUUAAAGCUCAUUUUUAGGGUGGACAUCAUGGAUGUUUCACAUUAUCACUUCAACAUAUAUAAUCGAUAAAAUAUGGGAUAUGAUUUCACCAAAUUUAUUUCGCUCUGGGUGUCAAAUUCACCAAAGUUUAUCGACUUAGUGUCAAUGUGGGAUUCUUUAAUUCUCCUCCUCGAGAUGAUAACUCUUGGAGUACAUUCAUCUCAGACUGAGUCCCACUUUAGGAUCAACAACAUACCACUUUUGUUCAUGUGUAUUUACAUCUUAAAUCAAAUAUGUGAGACCAGUAUUACCCCCUCUCUAGGUGAUGACUUUUUCGAGUCCAUUCACCUUGGAACAAAUAUAAGUUGUAGAUCGGCUAUACGAGGCUUAAAUUAUUAUCUUAUUAUCUUCCCACAAAGCUAUACAAAGCGUAGCUAAGUGUAACACCCCAACCGUCACCCCUCUAGUGGGCCACAUGUUCACUCUCAUCCCAUGUGCCCACCUCUCUAAAUGGGUCUCACGUCCUCUCACUAGGCCCAUGAGCUCAUCCAUCCUUUGACUACUACAAAUCAUCUUGAGUUCUCUCAGGACCUUUGACAGAAAAAUAAUUGCAAUUUGGUGACAUAGGUGGCCAAAUAAAUUCAUUUAAAAUUAACCAACUAAACCAACAGAAGAAAUAAACCAAAAACCAAUCCAAUAAACAAAUAUCGUUAAAUUAGCAAAUAUCCAGCAAUUCUUAUCCCUAUAUUAGUAAAAGAGAAGUACAAAAUGGAAUACGGGUCAGAUCAAAAUAAUAAAAAAUUACCCGAUUUAAACAAGAGAAUUUGUUAGAAAUACCCCUUUUGGGAUACCAAUUUUUAAAAAUACCCCAUUUUCUUGGCAUUUUUAAUCUUACCCUUCUUAAUUCUAAUUUGCCUAUUUUACCCUUCAUUUGAUCUGUCUUAAUUUCUCAGAUCUCCGAUGACGACUAAAUUGCGAAAAAGAUAAGCCUGAGGGCGGCGGAGUUGCUGCCGACGUCGGAAUUGCUGCCGACGGCGGAGUUGCUGCCGACGGUGGAGUUGCUACCGACGGCGAAGUUGCUGCCGACGGCGGAGUUGCUACCGUUCAGUCUUCGUCGUCGAUGUGUGAUCCCAUCAUUGUCAAUCUCUCUCUCUCUCUCUCUCUCUAUCUCUCUCUCAUCACUCUCAUCUCUCUCUCUAUCUCGCUCUCUAUCUCGCUCUCUCUCUCUCUCUCUUGUUAUCGUAGAUUCUGUUCUUCUCUGUUCUAAAAUAUGGUUUCUUAGAUCUGAAGAGACAAAAUCGGGAUAUGAAAUUAGCAUUUUAUGUUGUUCAAAAUUGAUGUCUGCAUUUUUUUAUGUAACUAAUCAUAGUAUUGAUGUCUGCAUUUUUUUUUGUAUUUUGGAUGAUUAGCUGAUGGUUUUGAAUCGGGAAUUGUUCAUAUGAUUGUGAAAUAGAUGGUGAUGGUGAUGAUUAGAGUUAGCAUUUUGUAAGCUAAUUAAGGGGUUUUGAUGGUGCUUAGUGUUCCAAGGAGAUAGUGAAAUCAUUCCAGAUCGAUGUUAAUUAAUGGGUUUCGUUCAUUUGAUUUGGAUGAUAGGUUUCAGCCCAACAUCAGGAGAUGUAGUCAUGGAAAAAAUGACCAAGUUGGUUCUUAUUAUGGUGUUUGACCAUGUUGCUCGUGGUGAAAAUGAGUUCUAGAGUCAAAUCCCAAAUUAUGUUCAUGGCUGAAAGAAUCACAACAAUAUGGAUUUUAAUUGUAUGUACGUUACUUUCAAAGUUAGAGUAUGGGUUUGAGAGAUGCUUUUGGUUUAUGAGGAAAUGAUAAAUCAUAGUUGAAGGUUUAGAUCCAACAAGAAUGAACUCACUCAAAGAAAGCUUGACAUUCCUUUUAAUUUUUCUUGUUGAUGCCGUCAUUUUAUAUUUGGUAUUGAUGAUUUGUAGAGGACCCUUUGAUAUUUAUUCUAGUUACAUGGACAUGAACGGUAGGGACAUGAACGUUAUUCUUAUUUUAUUGAUUGUCUUGAGGAUUUACUUGAUAUUGAAUUUUCCCUGCAUCUUCUCUUCAAAGAGGUCUGCUUAUGAGAGCUUGAUUUUGAUUUGCUUGAAUUGGUAUAUUUUAGGAAUGGAGCAACGUUGGGGAUAAAGUAUUUCUGCAGUUGUACCAUAUGAUGAGAGUGGAUAGAAUUAUGCAGGGGAAUAAGAACACCCACAAGAUCACGUUGUAUAAAAAAAAUUAUGGCUUGUAUUUAAACCUUAUACAGUUCGUUACUUUACGAUGGUGUGUCUUGACUACGUAAUCUCAACAUGAUCUAGGACAAGGCAUGAUCUAGGACAAGGCAUGACUAACAGACUUAUGAAAAAAACUUUUGUUUUGGCGGUUGGUUAUGGAUUUGAUGAUUUGAUUAUUUGAUGAAGACUGUGUUGUCUUGGCUUAUAAAGAACUGAAGGGGAGCAUAUUAGGUCGACAAAGGUUACUUUUAGUUGAAGAUUGGGAAGAAAGUUCUUUAACCAUUAUGAAACCAUGAGAGUGAAGAGCUUUUUAUAUAAUAAUUGAUUGUAUUAGCUUUUUAUGAAUUGCUUCGUAAGACUUUGUAAAACCUUCUAAAUAUGUUGUAAAAACUUUUUAGAUACUUUAUAGAAACCUUUUAAAACCUUAUAAAAGCCUUAUAAAAUCUUUAUAAAAGCUUUGUAAAGCCUUAUAAAAACCUUAUAAAAUUUAUUUAAAUAGUUUUGAAAGCCUUAAUAUACAUUUAAACGCCUUAUAAAACCUAGUAAUCAUUUUAAAUACUUUGUAAAAUAUUUUUAAAAAACCUUUAAAAAAGCCUUAUAAAAACCUUAUAAAAGCCUUAUAAGAACCUUAUAAAAGCUUUAUAGAAUCUUACAAAAACAUUGUAAAACUUUUUAAAUAGUUUUUAAGACCUUAAUAUACAUUUAAACACUUUAUAAAACCUUUUAAAUACUUUUUAAAACAUUUUUUAAAAACCUUAUAAAAGCCUUAUAAAAGCUUUAUAAAAAACCUUAUACAAACAUUGUAAAACUAUUUAAAUACUUCGUAAAAAAUUUUUUAAAAACCUUAUAAAAGCCUUAUAAAAGCUUUAUAAAAACCUUAUAAAAACAUAGUUUUUAAGACCUUAAUAUACAAUUAAAAACCUUAUAAAACCUUUUAAAUACUUUGUAAAACAUUUUUUAAAAAAGCCUUGUAAUUUUUUUAAAUAGUUUUGAAAGCCUUAAUAUACAUUUAAACACCUUAUAAAAACUUUUAGACCCCUUGUAAAAUGCUUUAAAAGGUUUUUAUUGAUCUAACAAGGAUCCUCGAGUUGACUCGAUAUAUAAUCACCCCUCAACGUCCAAGAAUAUAGUUCUUAAACCAUUUAAAAACCUUAUAAAAUCUUUAUAAAAGCCUUGUAAAAAUUUAUAAAAGCUUUAUAAUAGUUUUAAAAACCUCAAUAUACAUUUAAACACCUUAUAAAACUGUUGAUAAAAAAAGAAUGGAUUUUAAAAAGAAAGAAAUUGUUGACAUGUUUAAAAAAAAUAUUUAAAAGGUUGUAUAGGGAUUUUAAAAGGUUUUACAAUUUUUUACAAUGUUUUUAAAAGUUUUAAGGAAUUUAUAAGAAAUUUAUACGGUUUUUAAAUAGGUUUUUGAGGUGUUUAAAUGUAUGUUAAGGUUUUAAAAACUAUUUGAAAAAUUUUACAAGGUUUUUAUAAGGUUUUAUAAGACUUUUAUAAAGAUUUUAUAAGGUUUUAUAAUGUUUUAAAGCUUUUAUAAGACUUUUAUAAAGAUUUUAUAAUGUUUUUAAGCUCUUAAAAGAUUUUAUAAGAUUUUUAUAAAGAUUUUAUAAGACAUUUAUAAGGUUGUUAAAAGGUUUUAUAACGUGUUUAAAUGUAUAUUAAAGUUUUCAAAACUAUUUAAAAACUUUUACAAGGCAAACAACGCGUUUAUAAAGCUCUUAUAAAGCUUUAAUAAGGUUUUACAAGGCUUUUAUAAAGCUUUUAACAUGAUUUUACAAGGUUUUUAAAAGGGUGUAUGAUGAUUUAAAAACUUUACAAGGGUUUAAAAAGAUUUUAUAAGAUUGUAUAAAGAUUUUAAAAGGUUUUAAAAAAAUUAACAAAGUUAAAGGGUGUGUGUGCAUUUAUGUCUAUAACAAAUAUUCGAAUAUUUUCAUUGACAGACAAUGCAACUUUAAAGAUAUAUUAUGAAUCCUUAAUAUUCUAUAACUGAUGUACUACUUGUAUAAUCAAAAAUACAAAUAAGAAUUGCAGAAAAGUUAAACAAUGUAACAUGUCGUGUUUCAUAUACAAUAUAAGCUCUCCUGCAAUAUAAAACCAGUCCGAGCCAUGUUUCUUAUUGUUUGAUCCUUUCACACUAAAUCCACAUAAGCAUGAGCUCCUAAUUGUGUUGCAUGUUGUAUGUCCCACCUUCAACAAGAGCAACUUGAGCCAGAUCAUUAAACAACAUUCCUCGCUUGGAUUCAACAUUAUACAAAAACUGAUGGAUUUGUGUUCUCUGCAACAUUCAUAAUUUUAAAAGAGAAUGUAUUAUUACCUCAAUGCAAGUCAAGAUCUCUUGGGGGUGAAAGAGAUUGUGAAUAUUGGGCAUCUCUCCUCCAUCCUCCUUUGUCUAUAGUCUCAGGUGCUCCAACAAAGACGCACCAAUCACUAUACAUUUACAUCAUCUCUUCUUCUAUGUACAAAGACAAUCCAAAAUGAGAUUUUCUACCUAAGUAGCAUAAAAGACAACACAUAUAAAACAAAUGCACGUAAGAAUGAAAAACACAAGUAGCUAAAAGCAAAUAAAUGUCAUUCUUUACGAUAUAUAAACAUUACAACUAAUCAAAUUAUGAGACCAAACCUUCAGAUCAAUAUCCAUUAGUCGAUUUAGGUAUCACCUUAGACUUGGUUCAAAAUCAUGGCAUUCCUGACACCCCAUAUGCUCAAUUGACCAAACAAGAUUUCCAUCUAUGAAAAUCAAUAGAACUAAAUUAAUGAUGACGAGAGGGGAUACAAAAUGUCAAAUAAGGUUGUGACAGAGAACUCCACUACCUCCGCUGCUAUUUUGAGAAGCGAAAGCUAGUUCGAGAUCGAAUCGCAAUGAAGUUGAGAUUCGUUUAGAUAGACGACGAGAUCAGAACGACAACAACAGCGACGAUGACGAUGACGAUGACGACAUGAUGAUGAAGACGACGACGGCACACCGACAAAGAUGAGACGACGACGACACACCGACAAAGACGAGACGAUGACGACACACCGACGAAGACGAGAUCGAGCAAGAGAGUUUGACGGCGAGAGGCAAGAGAAAUUCCAAAACAAAAGAAAUUAAGUUAGUUUUUGAAGGGUAGAAUUGUCUUUUUGACCAAAAAUGGGGGUAUUUUUAAAAAUGGUCUUCCUUGUGGGGUAUUUUUAAAAAAUUUCUCCCUAAAAGGGGUAUUUUUAAAAUUGUCCCUUUAAACAAUUGGAUACUUCAAAAUUGGAUAUUAAAUUGGGUUUGGAUACAUACAUCGGAUACUUCCCAUAUCUAAUUUUAGGAUUGUAUUAUUUCCAUAACUAAUUAUAAGAUUUCCUAAUAUUUUUUGGGAGAUUUUCACAAGUAACCUUUUUAUGAUAUCAUUUUCUAUAAGUACCCACUUUAGGUAUCAAUUUUCAAAAAUACCCUCUUCAAAGUACAAAAUGACUAAAUUACCCUCAUUUAUGAUAACCCAUGAUGAAGAAAAGAAUAUUCUUUCCAACAAAAAGAAUAUUCCCUCUGAAAAAUUUCCCGCCAAAAAUUUCCCCCCAAAAAAGUUUUCCCGCCAAAACAUUUCCGAUAAAAAAUUUCCCGCCAAAACUUUUUCCGCAAUUCCUUAAAAACCAUUUUAAACACCUUGUAAAUAUUUUUGAAUCUUUUAAAAUCCUUUAAAACCCCUUGUAAAUCUUUUAAAAGUCAUCCAAAACCUUUCAAAAUUUGACUAAACCUUUUAGGCAUUUCGUUUAAGGCAACACGACGUCGUUUGUACUUGUGAUUCUCAUUUUUCGACUUAACAGAGAUCGAUUAACGAUCCUAAACGGCUGUUAACUCCUCUGUUAGACUCUGUUAGAGGAUUUGAUUUGACGACAUGUUCAAUCUAGCUCAGGCAACAGAAGAUGGUGAUUUAAAAAUAAUGUCAACGAAAAGUCUAUGAUUUUAAUUGCCACAGUGGAAAUCGAGGAUUAAAAUGGCCAAAAUUUGUUGGUUGGUUGGUUCUUUUCUUUGGAUAAUGGUUGAAUGUGCUUGUGUGUAUAGCCAGUGGUGGGAUGAUUGCCCCACUAAGUAUUAAUGAAAUACUUAUGCAUCUAUUUCUUUGAUGCAGGUAAAAGCAAAGUGUAAUCCGUGGAAACAUGGCGAGGAGAGGAGGAUGAUCUCCGCGCUCAUAGGUGUUUUAGAUUAUUGUUAGAUUUGUUAGGGUGUUAGAACGGAAUUUAGAAGCAUGUUAUGGUGCUCAUGUUUCUGGAAUAAUGUUUGGUUGAACUUGUUGGUUUAAUGGAAUUAAUUUCAUGGAUUGUGUUUAAGUCUUCUGCUGGUUAUGUUAUAUGUGAUUUAAUUGAUCUAAAUUGAUCAGGCUGGUUUAGUUGGUUUACAAUUAGUUGGGUUAAUCCGGUCUGCAUGUUUUCAAAAAAAAAAAAAAACGGGAUGGGUUCUUUCACACUACUCCUUUUACCAACAAUUCUCGGUUUUAACGCCGUGACCGCCACCUCUAUAGUGGGUCCCAUGUUCACCAUCAGCCCAUGGGCCCAUCUCUCUUAAUGGGCAUCUCGUCCUCUCACUAGGCCCAUGAUCCCACCAUUAUCCGACAGCCAGUUUGCUACGUCUGGGAGGGUUAAAGACUUGCUUACCAACCCUACAAAUCAACACAUGAUCUUUCCCUGUGUUUUGGCCUCACUCACACAGUUUUUACAAUCACUUCCCGGAAGGAAUUCUGGAGUAGUCAAAGGAUGGGUGGCCUUCCGGGAAGUGGUUGUCGGAACUGUGUGAGUGAGGCCAAAACACAGAGGAAGAUCAUGUGGUGAUUUUUAGGGUCAGUAAAUGAUAACCCCAUAUUUUACCCAAUUUAGGCAUACUUUUAUUGCAUGUUUUUCAUAGUUUGAGUCUUGUUUCAUAUGCAUUAGAGUCUCUUUUCCUUCAUUUUGCACUCUUAGGUGGUUUUUGCAUUAGCAUUGCAUAUUUUGUGAAGUUCGAGCAUUAUUAGGUGUUUUGGAGCUCUAAAAGAGAAGGAAGGUGUUAUUUUCAUUUUUGAGACUAAACAAGAGAAUUGGAAGCAUAAAAAAUGAAAAAAUGAGGCAUUCGCCAACCAACUCGACCGCGUCAACAAUCAUCCGAUCGGAUGCAGUAUACGUCCCUCAAAGAUCGACUCGAAUGAAGAUCUUGAGUUGGGUUUUAGCUUUUGAGGUCUUCAUCAAACUUGUUGGAAAUUAAGUUAUCUUUCCAUUUCCGGUGAUUUGAAGCCGAUCCGAGUUGCGGUUCAAGAGUUAUCACUAUUUUAGUGAAGGUAUAUACAUCCAGAUUGAAAACUGAAGCUGACCCGACCAAGCCACUAUCUGACCCGAUCGGAUGGAGUGAAUUACCAGAUUUUCAACUAAGCAAUGGACCCGACCGAGUCUUGGAUGGACCCGAACGAGCCCAACAUGCACCCGACCGAGCUCACCUCAAACCGACUUUGUAAUUCGUCUUUUUCUGUUUUAGGGCUUCCUGCCUUUAGUAUAAAUAGACCCCUUGGGUCAUUAAGCUAAAGACGAGUUUUCAUUAGGGUUUUCUUUGUAGCCACCAAACAUUUCCAGAAACUUGUCAUCUUUAUAUCUUUUAAUCUAUUGAGAAUUUGGAGUUGUUUCCUUACAAUAUCUUGCUCCUUAGAUCAUUAUCUAUCUGGUUAUGCAAGAUUCAAAGAUUUCUGGGUUUGUGUUCUUCAUGAUGAACUCCAGAUCUGAGUAGUUUUUCUAGGGUUUAGAGGAUGGGUUAGGUGAUGAGGAAUCUUAGUUUCUAGGGUUGCUUAAGUAUAGAAUUAGAUAGAUACCUUCUGGAUUAGGAGAUCUUAAUGCUAUAUUAACCAUGUGGGAUUAGAUCUUAGAUAUUCCAGCACUCAAAAAAGUGUUCAAAUAGAAUGUCUGAUCAACUAAUGCCAGAGAUCUGUUUACUUACCCAAGAGAUUGGUUGUUAAGGAGUAGAUUGACAUUAAUGAGCUUGUUCUUUAUGCCUAUUUAUAGUAUGUUUCAUCAAUGAAAGUUGAGAUUAGGAAGUGUUAUAGAUCUGAUAAUCUUUGCCAAGAGAUUGGACUGAUUAGGUUAAGUGGUUCAUUGUCUAGGAUUAGAUCUAUCUGAGCAUGUUAAGCAUCCCAAACAUACUAAGAGGAUUCAUCACCCCAUUAGCCCAUCCUUAAGACCCUUUCCUAUCUGAUUGAUUACAUGCUUUUACUUAUUGCUUUUAAUAUUGCUUUCUUUAGUUUUCUUUUAUGCAUUAGAGUUCUUUAAACCAAACCUUAAAUUACUUGGCUUGACUUGAUUAGAUCUGCUAUAUCUUGAUUGCUUACAAUACAUCCAUUUGGAUCGAUAACCUCUUAUGCUACAUCGCAUUGGGGAAUUAAACUCCAAGGGUACAAAAAUACUUGUUUUAAUUUGGCGCCGCUGCCAUUUGGAUGUUAUUUGUUCCAUUUAGGAUCCCAGUUCUAUCUAGAUCAAGUUCUUUUUAUUUCCUUUCUAUUUCAUUACUGAUUUCUAUUUGCUGCUUGUCUGAUUUGCAUUUCAGGUACACGACUACUCGAGCCCGACCACCCAACCCGAUCGAGUUACACCAAACCCGAUCAUGUCUGCUCUCAGCUCGACCGUGUCUCACCUCUUCUCAUGAAUCCGAUGGACCAGUUCAUGAUGAAUUUUCACUACAAGCACCACCCAAUGCAAGUCACUUCACCUUCUUAUCAAUUUCAAGAUGUCUAUCAUCAAUCUUUCGCUCCACAACAUGAUUUUCAACAUCCAGCACCUAGGAUAGCCCCUGCUAAAGAUUUUCAGUUGAAGAACAUGUUGCAGCAACUUCUACAGCUGCAAGCUGAUGAUCAAUUGGAAAUGACUAGGAUGUUCGAUGAGUUCUCCAACUAUAUAACUUCCUCAUUCAAUGAUCUGUCCCAAAAGUUUGACGCUUUAAGCAACAGGAUCAUGUAUUUAGAAGCCAAGGAGUUUGCACCUCAACAAGCUAUUCAACCUCAACAACAAUCCCAAGCAAGUGACGUCCAGGCAGUUGUCAACAAAAUCCUACAAAGUCAAACCGACAGCGAUCAACAAUACAGCAAACUACUGAUGGAAAGCAGAAGGAACCACACUACAUCCCUCCAACCUACAAGUCUCCAUUACCAUUCCCUGGAAGAUUUAAGAAAGAAAUCAAGGAGGAGUAUAGAGGAAUACUCAAUACAUUAAAAGGGGAUGAGCUAACAAAGGCUUUGUUAGAUGCUUUUGCCAAUAUUCCUUCCUACAACGUGAUCCUGAGAGAGGUACUAAUUGAAAGGAUUCAAGAGAAGAAGGCUGCUCAAGAAAAAGCUAACCUUAAAUUACUUGGCUUGACUUGAUUAGAUCUGCUAUAUCUUGAUUGCUUACAAUACAUCCAUUUGGAUCGAUAACCUCUUAUGCUACAUCGCAUUGGGGAAUUGAAUUCCAAGGGUACAAAAAUACCUGUUUCAGUAAACAAGUAUUUAAGCCUCCCGGGCGUAGCAAACCGAUCGUCAGAUAUUGGUGACUCACGGGCCUAGUGAGAGGACAUGAGGCCCAUUAAGAGAGGUGGGCCCAUGGGCUGGUGAUGAACAUGGGGCCCACUAGAGAGGUGGAGGUUGGGGCGUUACACUACGCCACGCAUAUGAGGGUCGAUAACCCAUUUUAGUCUCCAAGAAAAGCAUGUUUGGAUAAUGUACUACUUUAUAAACCCUGGCUAGUAGAGAUGAAGGAGAUUUUAGAAGCCUCCAUGACUGUUUUGCAAGCAAAGCUUGAUUAAACCUACCAAUAUCACGAAAUCCCAAUCCUCAUAUGUCCUUUGAUCUACAAACUUUCUUCCGAGCAACCCAAUGCAUCUUGUUUUUAUCCUCAUGAGCACUGCACCAGAACUACAUCAUGGCACUUGUAAUUUGCUUGCAUUGAUGUUUAGUCAGCUUAAAACAGGACAUUGCAUAAACAGGAAGGGUCAUUGCUUUAGAUUUUAACAAAACUUUCUUCCUGUCCAAAGAGAGUGUCUUCUCAAACCAGCCACUUAUUCUUGACUUCAAUCUAUCUGUGAUAAAAUUAAGGAGGUCGCACUUUGAUCCACUAAAACACUCAGGAAGUCUCAGGUACUUGCUAUCACCACCCUCUUGUUCAAUACCAAAAAACAGCCCUAGCAUUUGUCGCAUGUAAGGGUCUAGCUUCUUCCCAAAAGUAAUAGCAGAUUUCUAGAAGUUAAUCUCCAGCCCCAAAGCCUUUCCAUACAGCUCAAGGCAUUUCAAAAUUUCAGUACACUCUUUAAGGCUUGCUUGACAAAGGAAAAGACUAUCAUCCACAAAGAGCAGAUGUUGAAUCGAUGGACAGGAACGUGAAGGUUUCAUUCAUGUUAAUCUUCCGUCAAGCUCAGCUUUAUUCAUGAUGUGCACCAAAGCUUCAGCACAAAGAAUGAAGACAAAAGGCGAUAACAGAUUACCAUGCCGUAGUCCUCUUUGUGGUUGAAUAUAUCCAUAUGAAGCUCCAUUAAUAAGAAUAGAAUAUGAGACCAAGGUAAAAAAACUCAUUAUCCAUUUCACCCACAUGAUAUCAAAACCUAGCCGACUAAGUAGCUCUUCUAAAAAAGACUACUCAACUCGAUCAUAAGCUUUAGACAUAUCGGCUUAAUAGCCAUGAAAUCUUCAUCACAACUAGUAUUUGUCUUCAAGGCAUGAACGAGUUCAUGUGCAAGUAAAAUAUUGUCUAAUAUCAACCGGCCGGAAACGAAAGCUCCCCGAUUAUCUGAGACAAUAGAAGGUAAAAUGCAUUUUAAUCGAUAGCACAUAACCUUAGAAACAAUUUUCUAUAGUACCGAACAAAGACUAAUUGGUUGGAGAUCAGUCAUCUUUGAUGGCUUUAAAUUCUUUGGGAUCAAACAAAUAUGUGUGAAGUUCCACAUAGGCGGUAAGGAACCAGAUUCAAAGAACUGUUGUUCCUCAGAUAUAACUUGAGGCCCAAAAAUGUCUCAAAAAAAUUGAUAAAAACACCCCGACAAGCCAUCAGCUCUUGGGGUACUGUCACCUCUAAUACUGAAUAUUGCCACCUUAAUCUCCUCGCCUGAAACUGGAUGCGCUAGAGUGUUCUGAUCCCCAUCACACAUCCAUUUUUCUUUGCUCUGCUGCUUCCAAAAGAGUUCUUCCUCAUGAUAAGCUUCAACUAAUUUCCACAGUAGAGUCUCCCAAAACUAAAAAUCUGGUAUUAGUUUAGCUCCCUCAAUUUCAAGUUCAUAGAACAGCCUCGAAAUAUUCUCCUGAGAGUUCUGGUUAUUAGAUUGAUUCCAGAGAGAUAUACACCUUCUACAAUCCGCAAUAUGGCUCAUUAAGGAAUAGUUAUCCAAAGCAAAACCUUUAUUCCAACCCUCUCUCACUACCUCAGAGAAAUCCGGUUUCGAAACCCACCUGUUCUGAAACAUAAACCGGCCUCGUUGUGACAUGUUUUCAUUCACAAACCUUGUGAUGAUAGGGCGAUGAUCAGAGCCAAUCCUUUCCAAAUACUUAGUUUGCACCCUUGGAAAAAGAUGAAACCAAGCUGCAUUACCAAGAGCUCUAUCAAGCUUACAUUGCACCCAAACUUGAUUGUGUUCCCCAGCCCAUGAAAUUUAUUACCAAUACUAGCAAUUUUCGGUUUACCAGACACCGAAUCAAUGCCAUCGUCAUCAUCAGUCAAAAAUCCAAACAAAGGAUCAUCCUUACUAGUUUUUGGAACCAGACAACUUGGAAUGAUCGAUUCAAUUCCCCCGUAGCAACAGUUUGCCGGUUUGAGGGAUUAAAUGGGCAGCGUUCCUUGUCAUGAGUUAGCCUUUGACACUGAUUGCAUCGGCGCUAGAUUCUCUCAUACUCCAUCCCAAUGUUAAUCUUCUCUCCAUAUGGGAUCUAGAGUUCUCUAGAAUUCUUCAAGGGUUUGUUUACAUCAAAUAGAACUCUAACUCUGACAUAUCCCUUGCUUAGUGGUUUCAAGGGAUCAAAAGCAACAAUAACUGUCCAAUAUGCGCUGCAAUUUCCUUAAUGGUAUCAGCUGUGUUAAAGUUACCGGAAUAUUGCGAAGACGGAUCCAUAUUGGCAGCACUUUCAAGUAAUCAGUUGGCGGUUUCUCCACCCAUCGCUCCAGCGUAAUACUCCAGUCAUUUAAGGUCCAAGCACUGAUUUCUAAGACCGUAGUUAACUCAGACUCUGAAUCAAAGAAGAAGUGAAACUGUUCAUUAGAAAGAGCUAUUCCUCUAGCUCUGUUGUACACUCGCCAUAAGUGAGGCAUUUCAUGAAUCAAAUCAGACAUCUUCUAGUUCUCUGGGUACAAAAGACGACCAGUGAUACUACUCUUGUUUCGCAAGAAAGAGCUGAACUGCGGAAGGUUUUGCAGCACAAUCAGUUUAUCAUCUUCAAUCGACAUCUCCUGCAAAGCUUUAUCCAACUCAUACUCUAUGACUGCACGUAAUUAACGUAUCAAACAAGGGUUUUGAGCUUUAACACUAGUAGGUUCGACGACGGCUCUCAAGAACACGACGAAAUAGGUUAAAUAUAUAAAAGAUCUCCAAAGAUUUUGUAACAAAAGUGAUUAAAACAGAAAAUAUUCUCCCAAAUCCGGCGAAAACAGAGAUAUUCCCGGUUUACUUAAGUUCUCUCCCUAGAGAGAAAAAUCGCUUUCCCAACUAAAAAAGAAAAGGUUCCUUUCAUCGGAAAAUCAACAACCUAAUUCAACUCACUUCUUUUACCGGGCGGUGGAAGACUAGGGAUAUAUCAUUUAAUCAGGAAGGGCAUCACCAGCGUUAGGGGCGGCCGGUCCGGGGGUUACCCGCGAUUGGUAAUGGCAUAAGCAGAAGAGGGAUAGGGGGACAAGGUUACGCGCUGGGUAGCGCAGCGAAUCUGUUUUGGGUACAGAGGGUCGAACCUAUGCUAGCAAAUGGUAGAGUUGUUACAAGUGAAACAGUUGGUACAGUUGUGUUAAAUUUGCAUCUUAGUUUCAUUGAGGUUUUCUACAUUAAGAAUAUGGGCUUUGAUUUGAUCUCGGUAACACAACUAAUGGAAGAAAAUAAUUGUGUGAUGCAAUUGGCUGUUCCAUUUUGUGUUCUUAAGGACCGUAUUACGAGGACGCUGAUUGGAAUAGGUGAGCCGGCUGGGGGUUUGGUCUAUUUUUGGAACACCGAGGUUGUCGCAGCUUCGAAGGGUCUCACGAAUCAGUCCGUGGAGCUGUGGCAUCGUGACUUGGGACAUCCAUCACCAAAAAUAGUGGAGAUGCUUUCUGAUUUCAGUUUUAGUAGUAGUCGUACUUCUAUGAAUAAAGUGUGUGACAUAUGUACUCACGCUAAACAAACUCGUUGUUCUUUUCCGUUGAGCAUUAAUAAGACUUCAGAGAUGUUUGAAAUGAUUCAUUGCGAUAUAUGGUAACCCCGUCUUUCUCUGGGGCUAGAUACUUUCUCACCAUUGUUGGUGAUUUUUCGCGUGGAACUUGGAUAUAUCACAUGAAUGCAAAGAGCGAGACACCGACAAAGCUUCAAUUUUUUUUUUCUCUCGUAGAAGGACAGUUUGGAAAGCAAAUUCGAUCGUUACGUCGUGAUAAUGGUAGUGAAUUUUUAUCACUAACGACAUAUUUUUUGGAACACGGCAUACAUCAUGAGACCUCGUGUGUGGGAACACCGCAGCAAAACGGCUGCGUUGAACGUAAACACCGUCAUUUGCUGAAUGUUGCUAGAGCUAUUCGUUUUUAAGGUCAUUUGCCUAUUAAAUUUUGGGGAAAGUGUGCUCUAGCUGCAAUGUACCUCAUCAAUCGGACACCAUCUGUGAUUUACAAGGUAAAACUCCUUAAGAAAUUUUGUAUGGAGUUAAGCCUUCUUAUGAUCAUCUUUGUGUUGUGGGUUGUGUAUGUUAUAUUCAUAAUCAAGACCAUCACGGGGAUAAAUUUGCAAGCAGAAGUCGCAAAUGUGUAUUUGUGGGUUAUCCUCAUGGGAAGAAAGGAUGAAGAGUCUUCGAUUUAGAAAAGGAAUUUAUUGUGUCUCCCAUGACGUUAUUUCCAAGAAGACACUUUUCCAUACCAAAAGAACGAUACACAAGACAUUGGUUUGGUCGAUGAGCAUCCAUCGUUGCAACCACAAACCUGUCUCGGUGAAACUCUAGUCUCUCACCCGUCUCUCGUGGAAGAUACACCGGCAACUGUAAUUCCAGCUGCAGACACGACGACUUCAAGUGCAUCUUCAGCGGACGACAGCUCUAACGAUGAUGAGUGACAAGUAACUCUGAAAAUGGAAAAGAGCACGUUGACUACGAAAUUGAAGUAGACCUUGAUAUGGAUAAUGCUCCAAUUGCUGUUCGCAAAGAAGCUCGCCAACGACGUCCACCGGGGUAUCUCGCUGACUAUGAUACUACACUUGUGUGUACUGGAUCUAGCUACUAGUUUAUAUCCUCUAUCUGAUGUGUUGUCUAACGAACGCUUCUCUGCAAGUCACAAAGUGUUCUUGGCUGCUAUCACCAUUGCAAGCGAACCGAAAAAUUUCUCUGAAGCGAUGCAAGAUGCUCACUGGAAAGAUGCAGUUGGAAAUGAAAUUACCUCUCUCGAACUGAAUAAUACGUGGACGCUUGAAGACUUACCUGACGGGAAAAAGGCCAUUGGUUGUCAAUGGGUCUUUCGUAUUAAACACCGUGAUGAUGGCUCCAUCGAACGUUUCAAAGCAAGAUUAGACGUUUUGGGAAAUAGACAAGUUGAGGGUGUUGACUAUGGUGAGACAAUUGCUCCAGUUAUUGAAAUGACAACACUACGUUCUUUUCUUGCCGUGGUCUCCGUACGAAACUAGGAAGUACAUCAGAUGGACGUCCAUAACGCUUUUCUACACGGUGAUUUGGAAGAAGAAGUGUACAUAAAGCUUCCUCCGGGUUUCUCUAAGCCAACUGAUGGGAAGGUAUGUCGUUUAAGAAAGUCUUUAUACGGUUUAAGCAAGCGCCAAGAUGUUGGUUUGCUAACCUUUUGACGUCUUUGGAAAAAUAUGGGUUUCAACAAUCUUGGUUUUGUGUUCAAGAAAGCGACGACUGAAAUAAGAGUUCUUGUUUAUGUGGAUGAUCCGGUUGUUACGGGAAAUAAUGUUGAAGUAAUCGAAGCUUUCAAAUUAUAUCUCAGCACAUGCUUCCACAUGAAAGACCUUGGUGUGUUGAAAUAUUUUUUUGGGAAUUGAGGUAGCUAGAAAUUCAGAAGGUAUAUAUUUGAGUCAUGGUAGGUUCGAGGAUCUUGCGCGGCGGAGCGAACUCCUCGAGAGAAAAUAUACACUUGAUAUCUUAUGAGAAACUAGACUACUAGGCACAACCUGCUGCAUUUCCUCUUGAACAACAUCUUCAACUUGGCCUGGCGAAAGGUUCUCUUCUACCCGAUCCCAAACCAUAUCGACGAUUGGUUGGGAAGUUGAUCUAUAUCAACGUCACUCGACCCGACUUGGCUUACUCCGUGAACGUUUUGUCCCAAUUCAUGAAAGCUCCUUGUGCAGAUCAUUGAACAGCAGCACUACGGGUCGUUCGAUAUUUAAAAGGCACCCCAAGUCAAGGAAUCUUGCUCCGGUCCGAUUCUGAUCUCCAAAUUUUAGCAUGGUGUGACUCCUCAUAUGCUGAUUGUCCAUUGACUCGACGAUCUACGGCCGGCUGGUUAAUACAACUUGGUGCAUCUCCUAUCUCUUGGAAGACAAAGAAACAACAAGUGGUUAGUAUGUCUUCUGCUGAAGCUGAUAUAGAGCAAUGGCUUGGACGAGAAAGGAGUUGAUAUGGCUAAAGGCAUUAUUUCUUGAUCUCGGAGUUAUUUUGAAGCAACCUAUGCGAUUGUUCUGUGACAACACCGCUGCCUUGCAUAUUAAUGCUAAUCCGAUUUUUCAUGAACGAACCAAACAUAUUGAGAAGGAUUGUCACUUUAUACGCAAUGAGAUUAAAUCCGGGAGCAUUGCAACAGCACAUGUCUCUACAAAGAUCCAGCUAGCUGAUAUUCUCACAAAAUCUUUGGGAGAGAUUGAGUUCAGCAUGUUCUGGUCAAAGCUGGGCAUUUUAAACCUCCAUGCUCCAGCUUCACCUAAGCAUUCUAAUAAAACACAGAAAACAUUCUCUAUUAAUCGACUCUGAAUUUAUCAGGGCAUGAACACAAAAAUAAGCUACAUGGUGACUUCUCACAAGUUUCUAAUCCAUGAACGUAUAUAGAGAAAGAAGAAGUUGUUAGAACGGUCUCCCUCUAUUAUGUAAGUUGACUGGCCAAGCCCGAGUGCUUCAGAGGAGUUUGUUUUUUACCAGAGACCUGAGUUCAUCAGUAGAUUGCCGCUUCUUGAGUACAUUCAUCCACGGUUGGGUGUUCUGAAUGUUGCAAGCAAGUUGAUUCAGGUCCAAAGAUCCACAUUUCUUGUGGGAUCUAUCAAGAACUUGGUCAAGGCGAUUCAGUUACUCAUCUUCACUACAACAUGUGUGACAUGGUUUACCUGUUAGUGCAUACAUCUAAAGGAAUGGUAGAUGCAACAAAAGAGAGGAAAGCUCUGAACCAAGAUCACAAGUUGGAAUCUUCUCCCACGGACUGUAGCGGAGCUCGAUGGGAUAUCUUCAGGUGUCAAGACAAUGCAAAGCUCGCUAAGUAUCUGAAAAGGAAAACGAGAAUAUUUCAGAACCCUCCUAAGUAUUGUACAGAUGACUUUUUGAGUGUUAUCAUCUAAAAUCAUUCAGUUGUUGCAUCUAAUUAACCGUUGCGUUUCGUUUCUGAGUGUUUUUCUGUGUGUUUUAGGCAUCAUGCUAGUUAUAUGAAGGACAUUACCUAAACGAAUACCACAAGAGAUAACUAAUAACAAGAGUUUGGUAAGCAAAUCAAACGUUUUGUGUAUCCCGUGGAAAAGUUGAAAGAACGAGACACUUAAUCUUCUUUAUACGUUUCAGGAGUUGAGCCAUUUUCAUUUGAGCAGCGUCGUGGUGAAGCCAUUUUUAUUCCGACUGGUUCUACCUUCCAAGUUAAGAAUCUAACGAUGAAAAGGAAAAGAAGGAAACACUUUCUUUUCUCGUUUGUUUACAUAAUAACUGAUUCUUGCACAUGUAUGUAUAAACAUAGUCGAACGUUCAGAUAGCAUUCGACUUCUAGUUUCCUGAAAGCGUUAGGGAGGGCGUGAGACUAGCUGAAGAGAUUCGAUGUUUACCUAACGACAAUGAGGCAAAAACAUCAGAUUGUAGAGGUACCAAAACAAAACUAUUCUUGAUUCCUUUUAUAACAUUAACCCUCAAAUGCCUUAUUGCUAAACUGUUGAAGUUUUUGGGUUUUAGAUUGGAAAGUUGUCGCUAUACGCAGCAAGUUCAGCUAUCAAAGAGGUUCAAAAACUGGUAUUGGAUCCUAAGUAAGUCUUAAAAACUUUAUAAUGGAUAAAGCAAAAUCCAAAUCUUUGAGCUCAAAAUAUUUGGUUUUUUAUUGUAAUUGUUGCAAGAUUGGGAGCAGAGCUGGGUUUCGAUCGAGUUUCUUAACUUGACCAAAGAAGUCACUGAGAAGUUGGACUAUGCAGUAAAGCGUCCGCAGCUGAUCAGCUGUCAGUAAUCAGAUAGGCCUUGUACAUACAUUGCUAUGAAUUUAAUGCACUCUAGAUAAGUUGUAUCAAUUAGAUAGUCUACACAUGUAUAUGCUUUUUAUGUGAAUCAUUCCCUUGAAAACAUCCCACUCGAUAGUAGACUGGCUGUUGCAAGCUACUUCUUUUUUAAUGAAUAAAAGAAGAAGCAGAGACUACCAAGUGCUAAAGGCAUGGGCAUUGGCAGUCCAUGUCCAGUCCCACACCCAAAAAGAUAAAAAAAAAUCAAAAAAUAAAAUAUAUAAAAGGGACGUACCUCCAAACGGGACCGUUCUCUGCUUUGUGUUUCACUAUUCGCGGGCCCCACUGACAUGUGGCGGCCCGCGAUUGGUUACCUGUUUUUUUUUUUCUAAAAAAUCUAUUAAAAAAAAAACUUUUUUCUGAGUCCUACUGAUGCCCAUGCUCUAAUAGCUCAACUGGUAAAGAUAUUUGGCAAAAGCUCAAAAGUCACCGGUUCGAGUAGCGCUUGGGACGAAACCAUAUAACAUGCUCUGGUUUCGGGUCUGGGGGAUGUAUGAGUUUCGGCCCAGAAUCUCUUUCAUUAUUAAAAAAAAAAAAAAGA
rnacentral:lncRNA from 1 species